rnacentral:lncRNA from 1 species
UUGUCGCAUUUGGGUAAAUCUAACAAUUUGUUUUGAACUGCUGUAGUGUGGAAAUUUACUGUCAUAUCAUUUACUGAUAUUAGAGUCUCUAUGUCCAAGUCGUUAUAUCAUAGUACUAUUUGCUUUGGUAGAGCAUCUACCCUUUUACCUCUCACAACUUUGUGUCACAUCCUCUAGAAUUCGAACUCAAGACUUCUACCUUAUGAAAACUUCAGUUAAAUCCUUAUGAUCUAAUGGGUUAAGCAUAGAGGUUCCAGUCAUUAUCAUAUCUAUAUAUUGGUAGUAUGAAGCUGUAUGCAUAAUUUUGUUUCUCAUGUUUCUAUUUUCUUAACAAAACAUGCCUUAUUGAGUAAAUUCAAGACAGGAUCCCAGUGUACCAUUUGCAUCUUAUGGUUUUAAUGGACAGGAAGACUUUUGUGUGAUAUUGUGUCAAUCACCAGUACAAUAUGAGCCAUGCCAUAUCGCGAGGCAAAGAAUUCAAAAGAUUCUGCUCUGUGUAGCCUGCAUUUAGGCAAACAACCUUGCAUGCCCUAUAUUCAUUUAAACCAGCAACUACUAUACCCAAUCUUCCUUUUCCUUGCAAUUCAUGAUCAAAGGGCUGCUAUGGAGUGUGAUGAUCAAAUCAUUUGAAUUUCUACCUUUAAUUAUUUCAUGUCGUCAAGAAAAUCAUGGCUUCCCAUGUCUAGAAUUACCUUUGCCUCUAUAAUUAGAAUAUUUUUGGAAACUUGAACCGGAUUUAGUAGUGAAUCAAAUCAUGGUAUACAUAUAUGUACGCAUGAAUUUUGUGUGAAACUUUAUUUGUAAAUGAAUCAAAGGGAACCUGAUUUCCGGCACGAACAACAAAUGCAAGUGAUAAGACGAUGCCUCUAGCCGACGGAAUUGGAAAGACAAAAUGGAUAAGCAGCAAGCCAAAGAGGGGUUGUGCUCAGUUUCAAUCCUGCUACCCACGAAUUAUUAAAUUGUUGCCUUUUGGCUUGCUUUUUCUGUGCUCUUAUUUCAUGUACUACUGAUAUUACGGCCUGUGUGUUAAUUACACGGAUUAUGCUGCUUUGUCAGAUGAAUUCCUGUGUAACGGAAAAUGAUUUGAUGGAAAAGAUAACUGUGUUUUAAACAGUCCAAUAAUAGAAAUGUAGUAUUAUGUCAACAAUUAUAUUAAUAAUUCUGGCACUGUAGCAUGAUUGUAAUAACUUAGUUGACUUUUGCCAUGACUCUUUUGUAAGAGAGAUCCGGAAGCUAAAUCACAAGAGAGAGAAUAAUAGACACGGUCUUCAUGUCCUUUAAUGUAACAUUUCAAUUCUGAAAAUCUUAAUGGAAAUUUAUGUAAGCUAUUUAAUUUAACUCAUUUCAGUAGACCUUAGUCCCAAUUAUUAUCAUUUACUUAAAACGACACUUCUAAAUUUUAAGGAACUUGAAAGAUCUAUCUAGCAUUCUGAUAUUGGAAUAGCUUAACCCUUAGUUUUAUGUUGUUCAAUGCAAUACCUUUCAAUGAAAUUUCUAAUGAGGAAAUUAGACACAGUACCCUAAAAAAAAGAAUGAAUUGAUUAAUACACUUAAAUUAGAUUAAAGUUUUAAUAAACGUAUUAAUUACGUCAAAUGAAAACAUAUAACAUUUGAAAGUAAACAAAAUCGUUUGAAUUGAAAACAUAUAACAUUUGAAUGUAAACAAAAUCAUUUGAGGGACAAACGGACGUACUCCAAAUCUGAUAUUUUUUAUUUUUUUAAAUUUUUAUUAGUAAAUUUUUUUCAUUUGAUAUAGUAUUUUAUGCGUUUGAUAUAGUAUUUUACGCUACGAUUAUCCAUUAUGAGCGAUUCAAAAUCUAUUAGAAAGCUUGUAAUAAGAACAUGAUAAAUAUGUUAUGGAUACAGUCUAAAUGUCAAAAAUUAUCUCGCAUGAAAUAUUGAACGCGAAAUAAACCAUAAUUAGUAUGUCCAUUUCUUGUGGCCAUUUUUGACUUGUUAUUAUGAACUCGUCGUUUAUCGAUUUUGAAAUUAAAACAAUGCAUUUCAAAGUUUGUCGUAAAUACUUCGAAAUAAUAACAAAAAUGUCACCUAACUAGUGAAGAAAUAUGGCCCAUAAAUAAGUUAAAAGAGGUAACGCCAAAAUAGAAUUAAGUAAUAGAAUAUCACUUUUUUGGUGGUUACUUUUUAUUUUCUGUCAGUGUUUUGAAUUUGUGUCACUUUUUAGAAAUUUUUAUCAUUUUUUUUGAAUGUUUGUCACUUUUUAUUUUCACUCACUUUUUUUAAUUUGUGUCACUUUUUUUUUUUGAAUUCGUAGCUUUUUUUAAAUUUGUCACUUUUUUUUUUCAAUCACCUUAUUGAUUUCUAUCAUUUUUUUUAGUGACAAAUAUCAUUUUUUAAUUUAUAUUAUUUUUUAAUAAAAAAGUGACAUUCACUAUACCAAAAAUCACUUUUGGCAACAGGCAGAAAAUUUAUAUUAUUUUUUAAUAAAAAAGUGACAUUCACUAUACCAAAAAUCACUUUUGGCAACAGGCAGAAAAGGUUGCCGUAGACCUAUCGCAACGUUCAGGUGUCCGUUGUGGGUCUCAACGUUGCCGUAUAGCGAAGAGUUUCGGUAACAUUCAUUGCACGUUGCUGAAAAUUGGUUUUUUGCACGUUGUCGAAACACCCUUUCGGCAACGUGCAAAGAAUGUUGACGAAAGGUAUUUUGGCAACGUUGCCGAAACCAAUUUUUGUCACAAAUGUCUUUUUUAUUUUUUUUUAUCAAUUAUUUCACAUUUUUCUUACAUCGUAAACCUGUGAAUUAAAAACAUAUUUACUAUCUACGCACAAGUACUUUAAGACAAUAAAAAAUUAAAAGUUCUUCAUUUAAGCUAAUAAGCAUAAUCCAAUAUACAAUAUUACUUCAUCAAAACAUAAUAAAUACUCCAAUUCAAAAAUAUACACCAUCUAACCAAAGAACUAUGAAAAGUGUCCAAAAGUUAUGUAAACGAUUUAUAACCGAAGCUUCAAACGAGUCCCAACCCAAUCUUUUUAUGUAGACGAGAUCCAAGAAGACACAAGCACAAAAUAGAUUGAACUCAUUUCAGCUCCAUGUAAUUGCAAGAAAGAAAGAAUAUAACAACAAAUUAAUCAAAACAGGCAAGCAAUUAAAAAACAAUACAAUGUCAUUUAAAACUUUUUGAGACACAACUACACUCGUUCAACUUUUUACAUAGCCUGUCUAUACUUGUGUAUGCAUACAUAUAUAGCCACUCUUGAAACAUGUUUAAUGACAAUACAUAAAUGAAAAAAAUGUAGAAAUUUAUAAAGUACCUUCAUCAAAUAAGUCUAACACAGCUCUUUGGCCAAGCAACAGCACUUCCUAUGGCGUCACUAAGAACUCAAAAUUCAUCCGUUGGUCUAUAAGGGCAAAUGACUCAUGUACACCUCGUCAACCCAAACCUUCCAACAAUCUCGUCCUAGUGGCACGGGAUGCACCUUUGCACUUGGGUCUAUUGAUGCAAUCUUCCCUUCGCCUACGAUUUCCUCCUCAAACAUGUACCAGUGCAAUAGUUGACACUUUCCAUUUUCCACUGGUACAAUACCUCCCUCCAUGCCACUUCCUUGUUGGGACUACAAAUUCGCAGUAAAAUAAAAAUAUUUUUAAAACUAGUAUGAUAUAAUCUGAAUUUAUAUUGAACAAAUAAUAUACGAUACAAAAACCUGUGGAGUAAAAGUACGUGAAUUCAUGUCCUCUACAUUCUUAUUUUGAUUCUGUAAAAUAAUACAAAAAUUUAAAACUUAUUGAAAUGUUAAGAUAUAUUAAGUUACGCUAUCAUACUAUAUGUAAUAGCAAAGUAUAACCCGAGAUAACUUUAGAAGUGCUCCAACCUUUUCUUCGAGUGCUUCCAUCCUUACUGAUUGAGUUUGUAAUUUGCUUUCAAGUUCUCUCACUUUCUCACUGCUUUGUGUAUUUCCAUCUACUUUUGAUGGUGUAACCCCAAGUCCAAGUCCCCUUACUCGUCCACGACGCUCGGGACCUAAAAUUCGAGCAACAGCAUCAUCUCGAAUAGAAUUUUCGGCUUAUUACUUAAACCCCCCUCAUUAAGUGAUAAUUGUAGUAGUACAUGCAUGGAUUAAAUAAGAAAUUUUGUAAACAUUCAUCUUCCCUUUAGAACAUUCAAAUUAUAAACUUCAGUUGUGGUUCUAUUAUUGCUUAAAGGCCAGAGAUAUAAAGGCCAAGUUCUAAACUCAAAGGGUAAAUAUAUAGAAGCAUGUGAAGAAAGCUAUACCAAAAAUCGUGCCUAGAUUCUUCCUAAAUCAAGGAAAGAAAAGGAAAUCUACAAAGUCGAUUCUAUAAUAAAUUCAAGGCACGAAAGAGAUAUACUUUUCAUUAAGUAGUGAUCACUGAGAUUGAUCUACUCCUCAAAAAAUAAGAAUCAUGUCUUGGAUAAAAUAAUUCAACUGUCAGCUAGAAAAACUUUUACCUUGAUCAAGACAUUUACAAGCCAACAAGCAUUUUUUCAAAUUCAAAUUUCAAUAGCCAAUUACAAAAUGAGAAUUGACUGUUUGAGUCCCUAAUUAAACCCUAUAAUUUUAGAUUCACACAUAAUCACUCUUCAAACCCUUUAACAUUUAAAGGCAGCCAGAAAUAAGAAGAAAAAUCCCGAAGAUUAAACUCUAUCAAUACAGAAUAAUAUUCAUCAAGGAUUACACAUGCUUGCAUUUUGCCCUCCUGCUGAGAAAGCAUUCAUUCUUCAGCCCAUAUUUACAUUUCUCAAAAGACUUGCAUGAUAGAGAGCAUCACAGCAGAAUGCGAACCAGCUACAAUACAAAAGUAAGACAUGAGGAAAUACAAAAAUCUGGAAACAAUCUAAUCGCAUCAUAUCAAUAGGCACUACCAUAAUAUAGAAAACAACUUUCUAUUAUUGACACUACUUAUUAGAGAGAAAUCACCGACCAAAUCUCCCUAAAUGGGUAAAUAACAAAUCCGGACACUAACAUCUAUUAAAGCCCAAGUCCAAGAUAUUUUGGCUUCUUUUGAUAUCAAAGGAAAAACACUUCGCCAGUGGAUAUUUUAGAAAAUAAUUCCUAUUCUUAUGUUAUCUUCGAUAUACAAUGCCUCAAUAUAUACAACAAAGUUAGGGAUACAAAAGGAAGGUCUUCAACUUACAAUUAGAACUGAAUAAGGAAAUAACAAUCAACUUAAUUAUAUAAGCAACAAAUAUAGCCGAUUAAGCUGCCUUUAUUUUUGUGAUUUUCCACAAAAAACAUUCUUGCAAUCUCUCUCUAGAAUGUAACGAUGCAGAAACCAAUGUGAAGGGAGGGAGUACACGCACAGUAACAAUAUAAUUUUAGGGACAUGAGAUGUAGUCAGUUUGCAGAAUGAGGAGGUCGUAGAUCCAUUAUAGAGAGGUACCGUUUAGUCGUUGAUGAUAGCAGAUUUACUAAAUUUCGAAGUGACUUGAGAAGAGCCUACUGCAGAAGAUGAAAAUUUGAAGUUAUCUUAGUCUCCACUGCAUAUCAACAAAUAUUCAAGAAUUUGUAAAGAAACUAAACCCGAUUGGAAAAGGAUUAAAAAUAAAAAAUAAAGAAUCCUCUUAUUGUUCAAACUACUACACAAUCAAUCAAUCCAAAAUUCCAAUUCCAUAUCAAAUUAGAACACUGCAAAAGAACUACAAAUAACUUCAAUAUAAGAACCCAUAAAAAAGUCACAUAAGUAUUAUACAAGAGCCAUAUGUAAUAGUUACAAAAGCAUAAACAUCUUCAAUAUAAUAACUUCAACAGAAUCGGGCUUUACACAAAUUGACAUCUACUGGAUUCACUAAAAUAGUUACAAAAGCAUAAACAUACAUUGAUUUAAAAGUCACAUAAGUAUUAUACAAGAGCCAUAUGUAAAUGCUAGCAAGCUAAUGUAAACCGAUUAUGCAUCAAAAACAGAAAACAAUUAAGCCUACCUUGAAAUAAUGGAGAAGAAGACUCCCAGAAAUUAAGCCUCUCUCAAACAAUUGAGGGCUGGUGCCUGCGUUUCAUAUUGAGAGAAUGAGGAAGAGAGAUUGACAGGGAAUACGGGAACGAGAUGGUGGCAAGAGCGGGUGCGAGAGUGAGAAAGGGGGAAGAAAUUAGGGCGGGUUUGAGUUUUUACCAAACCACCGGGUCGGUUCUGGGUCGGGUUUGUAUGAUUUAUGUUUAAUUGAUAUAGGACAACUAGCUUUGGAGUUUGAAGAAGUGUUCAACAGAAAAUUAACAAAGAAAAAUCGCACCAGGGGCAAUUUUAUCGUUUGUCGUGACAGAGUCGAAAUGGAUUGAAAUUUGGCAGGUUGAUUGAAAACGGCCCGAGAAAUUGGACUCAGGACAACCCGAGAUCUUGGGAUUUUAGCCAAAUUCCUUCGUUUAGGCCUCCGAAUAAUUAAUUUUAGUAUUUCCCGUUUUGAAUUUUUGCCAUUUUUGGAACGUUUUAUUUUUUCUAUGUUUUAGGGUUUCUUGUCACGCCCAUUUAAUGGAUUUUGGAAUGUUUUCCAUGAUGAUUGAAUAAUAUACAAGUUUCACUCUUGGAGAACUCCAAUUUUCUUAUUUUCAAGAUUUACGUUGGUAAAUCUUUUGUUUUUUUCUUACUUCCGUUUUACGUCAUUAAUGUUGAAUUUACUACUAGGAAAUUAACGACAACGUUCAAAGAACGUUGCCAAAGACAAUUAACAGCAACGUUCGACGAACGUUGCUAAAACAAACCAACAGCAACGUUCAACGAACGUUGCUAAAACAAACUAACAGCAAUGUUCAAUGAACGUUGCUAAAACUGAGUAACGGCAAUGUUCUUUGAAUGUUUCCGUUACUCAAUUUUAGCAACGGGUAAUGCACGUUGCCAAAAAUAAUUAAUGACAACGUUCUUUGAACGUUGCUAAAACAUCUACAGCAACGGUCAUAAAAAAAAAAAAAACACAACAAUGGUCCAUGAACGUUGUGAAAGGGUGUAACAGCAACAACCACUAAAUGAACGUUGCUAAAUCUUAAUUUUUACAACCUAUGGCAACCUGCAUUUGGUGAAUGUUGCAAUAAACCCCUUUUAGAAACAUACAAUUGGUGCCCGUUGCCAUUUACAUGUUAUAUGUUAGGAAAAUGUGUAAUUGGCAAUCUGUGACCAAAGGACCUAUUUGUCAUGUUUGUAAAGUCAGGGACCAAAUUGUAAAGGUCUAAUAGUUCAGGGACUAGAGUUGCAAUUUAAUAAAUUUCAUAGCAUAGAUCUAGGGUAAAGUGGGAUGCUUUGAAAAUGCAAACGGCGCGUUGAUUUCGCUAGAGUUUCACCCUGACCUUGCUCGAGCCAAAAUUGCAGAACUGAUCUCGCUGGAGUUUCGCUGGGCAGUCGCUCGAGCGAAGGUGCGUCGCUCGAGUUUCGCCAGCACCUCGCUUGAGUGACGGUGUUAUCUGGCCAUUAGUAAUUUUAAUGUCUCGUGAAUUUUUAACGCUCCAUAUUUCCAAAUUUGACCUACUAUAUAAACAAAACGUCCGAUUUUCAUUAAAUACUUUUGGAAAACAUUCAAACAAGAACUUCUUUUAACUUCCAAAGGAUUUAGAGCCAAACAUUCGAUCUUUCUCAUCUUUUGAUUCUCAUGAUUUUUGAAUAAAAACAUCAACCAUCACAAAAUCAAAAACACCCCUUCAUAUCUCCAUAUCAACUUUCAAAAGAUCAUCUGUUUGAAGAUCCGGGAAGGAAAUUGCUUGAAAAGGAAAUUGCUUGAAGAGCUGGAGUGCUUGGUGAUUCACGGGAAGUAGAAGAUAUUCAAGGCUGGGAUUUUGGCGCAGAUCUGCAGAAUCCAGGAGAGCUUUGGUUGAUACAGUAAGGAGGUCAGAGAAUUGUUAGUUUCAAUUAUGUCUGGCGUACUGUAAGUCAAUAUCUUCGAUAGUGGAUCUCUACUGACUUGUGCUCGGAGUUUUUACCCAGUUGGGUUUUCUCCGUCAACAUUUUGUGGUGUUUUAACUGCUUUUUGUUAUUUAUUUUUCAACCGGUAAUUCAACUUAGGUAGAUAAAGUAUGUGAAUGAAUCUAGGCAAUGCAUAAUUUAUGUGACUUAUUGCAUAAGUUAAUUAAUUGUUUUAAUUCCGCAUAAACACCUAUUCACCCCACUCUAGGUGUUGGUUGGGUUGAACUAUAUCUUUUUCAAGUGGUAUCAGAGCUAAAUCUCGAGUCCUGGCCCAUAGUUGUCUAGAUGAGUCAAUCACUUUCUGUACCUCCAUAUUUUGACGGAAGUAAUUAUGCCUAUUGGAAGGUUAGAAUGCGUGCGUUUUUUAAGUCUUUAGAUGAGCAUGUUUGGGUAAGUGUGGAAAAUGGUUGGAAACCUCCCUCUACUAUCGUAUCAGGAACUGUUAACCUUACCGACAUAUCACUGUGGACUAAAGAUGAAAUAGCUGAGUGUAAUUGGAAUAGCAAGGGUCUUCAUGCCCUGUUUAUGGCCGUGUCUCCCGAAGAGUUUAGGAGAGUGUCAAUGUGUGAAACUGCUAAAGAGGUUUGGGACAUUCUUGAAACUACACAUGAGGGAGCUAAAACGGUAAAGAACUCUAAGCUACAAAUGCUAACUUCUAGGUUUGAAGAAGUGAGAAUGAAGGAUGAUGAAACGUUUGAUAAAUUCUAUGCUAAAUUGAAUGACAUUGUCAAUUCUAGCUUCAAUCUAGGUAAGAAAAUUCUCGAGUCUAAAAUUGUGAGAAAAGUGCUUAGGUCUUUUCCUGAGAGAUUUAGGCCUAAAGUCACUGCCAUUGAGGAAAGUAAGGACCUAGAUGAAGUUAAAAUUGAAGAACUGAUAGGAUCGUUGCAAACGUAUGAACUCACUAUUACACAACCUAAGAAAGGAAAGUCCAUAGCCCUAAAAUCCAUCAAAGAAGAUGAAUCUUCUGAUACUGAGUCACUUAGGGACGAGGAAAUUGUAUACUUUGUUAAGAAAUUCCAAGAAGUUCUCAAGAAUAGGAGAAAACCUCAAGAUAAAAAGAGUGGAGCCCCUAGCAGAUUCACAAAAGCAAAAACUGAAACGUUUAACAAUAAAUGGUCGAGUGAUAAACCACGUUUGGUUAGGUGUCAUGAGUGUCAAGGUAUAGGUCACUAUAGGAAUGAAUGCCCUAGUUAUAAGAAGAACCAAAGAAAAGGGAAAGGUAAGGCCUUAGUUGUCUCACUUACAGAUAAUGAAUCUGAGACCAGUGAUAGACAGGAUUCUUCUAGUAGUGAGGACGAAGGAAACUAUAUGGCAUUUGUAUCGACUGUUAAGAGUGAAUCUGAUAAUAAGAGUGACAAGGUUGAGGAAGAACUUCCAAAUGAUAAUUCUAGUAGUGAGGAUGAGGAUGAGAUAGACAUACAAGAAGCUUAUCAACUUUUAUUUAAAGAGUGUCUUAGAAUAAAAAAGGUCAAUAAAGUCUUACUCAAAAAGGUUGAUGAACUUGAAAGAGAAAAAGAGAAACUUGCUAGUAAUUUUCAGGAUUCUCUUAAGAGUGGUAGUGAGUUAAAGUAUGUCAAUGAGAAGUUAGAGGACAAGAUUAAGACUUUGACUAGUGAAUUGGAGAAAUCUAAUGCUCAUCUUCAGACUUUCGUGAGUGGGACUAAGAAAUUGGACAAUAUCUUGGGAAUGAAUAAGCCUGCAGGAGAUAGGAAGGGUCUAGGAUACGUUGAGGGCAAUACACAUGUUGCUGGACCUUCUAAAACAGUUUUUAUUUCUGCCUCUAAGAAAGCUAAUGCUGUUAGUAGUUCAAAUAAGGGUAAGAAUGUUCCGAGAGAACAGAGUCAUCAAUCACGUAGGAACUCCAUACCCAGAUACCCACAGCCACGUACCUUUGAGCCUAGGUUUAUUCUCACCUGUCACCACUGUGGAGCUCUAGGACACACUAGACCUAGAUGCUAUAAGUUAGGUAAUGAGCGUAGAAAUCAGAACAUUCCUAGUUAGGUUAGCUUUCUGUCUAAUCAGGUUAGUUAUUUGACUGAGAUGCUUACUAAGCUUACUAGGAGUACUUUAUCAUCUAAGAAAGUUUGGGUCAAAAAGGGCGAUCUAGCUAGACAUUCAGAUCAAGAAAAGUGUUUCGUUGCUCAUGUUGCAUUAAAAGCCCAAAAUUACAAUAUGUGGUACCUAGAUAGUGCAUGUUCUAGGCAUAUGUGUGGUAAUAAGGCUUUAUUCACUACUCUUGAUGAAUGUAACGGUGGUAUGGUUACCUUUGGAGAUGGGGAUUCUGCACCUAUUCUUGGCAAAGUUACUGUACAAAUGCAUGGCUUACCUGUGAUCUCUAAUGUGCUUUAUGUGGAAGGUUUAAAAUCUAACUUGUUAAGUAUUAGUCAAAUUUGUGAUGCUGAUUUUGAGGUGAGCUUUGUGCAAAAGAGAUGUACUGUGUAUGAUUCGUCUGGUGGGGUGGUUCUUGAAGGGGUUAGAACAACUGAUAAUUGUUAUGGAGUCUUGCCUAAUUCUAACUAUGUGUGUAGGAGUGUUAAAAUUGAUGUGAGUGAACUCUGGCACAAAAGGUUAGGUCACUUGAACUAUAAGAGUCUAGUACAACUAGCUAAGAAAGAGUUGGCAGAUGGUUUGCCUAAGGUAGGUCCUAGUGAAAACACUGUGUGUGGACCAUGUCAACUAGGUAAACAACUUAAGGGAAACCAUAAGAAGACUUCUAAAAUUCUGACCAAAAGACCCCUAGAAUUGAUACACAUGGAUUUAAUGGGACCAUCUAGGACUGAGAGUUUAGGAGGUAAGCGAUACAUUCUAGUUGUGGUAGAUGACUUCUUGAGGUUCACAUGGAUAGAAUUGCUUAGGGAAAAAUCUGAUGCAUGUGAUCUCAUAAAGUCUUUGUGUAAACGGCUUAGUAAUGAACUGGAUCUCAAAGUGUCUAGAAUGCAUAGUGACCAUGGAAAAGAGUUUGAGAAUUUUAAUCUUGAGAGUUUCUGUAUGGAUCAAGGGAUAUUGCAUGAGUUCUCUUCCCCUAUCACUCCUCAACAAAAUGGGGUGGUUGAAAGGAAGAAUCGGGUUCUUCAGAACAUGGCUAGAGCCAUGCUUCAUGGCAAGGGACUAGCCCUACAUUUUUGGGGAGAAGCUGUUAACACUGCAUGCCACAUAAUUAAUAGAGUUUACCUUAGACCCAAGACCGAUCAGACUCCAUAUGAAAUACUUAAGGGUAAAAAGCCUAUUGUUAAGUACUUUCGAGUAUUUGGAAGUAAGUGCUACAUUUUGCGUGAUAGAGAGAACUUGAGUAAGUUUGAAUCGAAGAGUGAUGAAGGAAUCUUCCUAGGUUACUCUAGAAAUAGCCGAGCAUUUAGGGUGUAUAACUUACGUACUCGUGUGGUGAUGGAGUCAGUAAAUGUUAUGAUAGAUGAUGUUGUAAGUGAGGGGGAGAGUGUUGAAAAUUGUGAUAGAGAUGGUGAUCUUAUAAGUUCUAGUGAUUCUACUGAGCCACCUGUGUCUGAAUCAUCUCUUGGAAAACCUGAAACACCUGAAAAGAAAACACUUCCCCAAGAUCGAGAUAAAGAUCCUAAGGAACCAUCGACUAGGGUUAAGUCUAAUCAUCCUAAGGACAAUAUCAUUGGGGAUCUAGAUGAAGGUAUGAGGCUUCGUAGGAGAGUACUGAACAAUCUAGCAUACACUAGCUAUGUAUCUCAGGUAGAACCUAAGAAAGUUGAAGAGGCCCUUGGUGAUGAGUGCUGGGUGGAUGCGAUGCAUGAGGAGCUUAAUCAAUUUGCUAGGAACAAUGUGUGGAUCUUAGUUCCCAGACCUGAGAAUUGUAAUGUUAUUGGUACUAAAUGGAUCUUGAAGAAUAAGACAGAUGACCAAGGUACUAUAAUUAGGAAUAAGGCUAGAUUAGUUGCUCAGUGUUAUACUCAAGUUGAAGGAAUUGAUUUUGAUGAGACUUUUGCCCCUGUUGCACGACUUGAGUCUAUUCGGAUUCUGCUUGCUAUUGCUUGUACCUUAGGGUUCAAGUUGCAUCAAAUGGACGUUAAAAGUGCCUUCUUGAAUGGACUUCUUCAAGAAGAAGUCCAUGUGGAACAACCAAAAGGAUUUGUAGAUUCUAAAUUUCUCCACUAUGUCUACAAACUACACAAAGUCCUCUAUGGUCUAAAGCAAGCUCCUAGAGCUUGGUAUGAGAGACUUACAUCAUACCUUGGAAGAACAUGGAUUCUCUCGAGGUGGUGCAGAUAGGACCUUAUUUAUUAGACAUGUUGAUGAAACUAUCACCAUUGCUUAGAUUUAUGUCGAUGACAUUAUUUUUGGCUCUCCUCAUGAGUCUUUAGCUUAUGAGUUUACUGAGUGUUUGAAGCAAGAAUUUGAGAUGAGUAUGGUUGGGGAGUUGAGUUAUUUCCUUGGACUUCAGGUAAGACAGACAGAGGAUGGACUGUUUAUUUCACAGUCUAAGUAUGCUAAGGAUCUAGUUAAGCGCUUUGGGCUAGAUAGUAAGAAGCAUACUAGGAUACCUAUGAGUACUAGCUUGAAGUUAGGUCGUGAUCCUUCAGGUAAGAGUGUAGAUCCUUCCCUAUAUCGAAGCAUGAUAGGUAGUCUUCUUUAUCUCACAGCUACUAGACCUGACAUUGCUUUUAGUGUUGGUGUGUGUGCUCGAUUUCAGGCAGAUCCAAAAGAAUCACACUUAAGCUCUGUUAGACGCAUCAUUAGAUAUGUGAGUGGUACAGUUGAUCUAGAGAUAUUCUAUUCUAGGAAUUCCAAUCUUGACUUGGCUGGUUACUCCGGCGCCGAUUGGGCCGGGAACGUAGAUGAUAGGAAAAGUACGACAGGGGGUUGUUUUUACAUGGGUAGCAAUCUCGUAGCCGGUUAAGUAAGAAACAGAAUUCUAUAUCUCUAUCCACGGCAGAGGCCGAAUACAUAGCUGCAGGGAGUUGCUGCACUCAGCUUCUCUGGAUGAAGCAGAUGCUGAGUGAUUAUGGGAUUAGUCAAGGGACCAUGACUAUUUUCUGUGAUAAUACAAGUGCUAUAAAUAUUUCUAAGAAUCCCAUUCAAUACUCUCGAACGAAACAUAUAGACAUACGACGUCAUUUUAUUCGUGAGCUUGUUGAAUCACAUGUAAUCUCCCUCGACCAUGUCUCUACUGAUAAUCAAUUGGCUGAUCUACUUACGAAACCACUAGACGGAUUGAGGUUUGAGUCGCUUCGGACGGCUGUUGGUGUUUGGUCACCUAUCUGAUCAUGGAGUCAUGCAUGUUCAUGCAUUCAUCACAUGUGAGUGUGUGAUGCAUUUUUUUUGUAAGUUUAGUCUUCUUUUGUGUGUUAUAUUCGUGUGUUUAAAUAAAAAAAAUAAAAAUAAAAAAAAAAAAAAAAAAAAAAAAUAAUAAAAUUAUAUAAAAUUUUUUUUGGGCCUUUGUGUAACGAUUAUGUCAUUUGUAUUAAAGAUCAAACUCUAUUUUUCUUCAUAUGUACGAGUCUCAGGUUCCAUCAUUGUUCAUUUUUUGACUGUGGAGUUCUGGGUAUAUGGCUCGUCAUUCAUUUUCACACGGCACACACUGUAGUCCUGUAAGUGAGUCUUGACCUCAUGGGUGAGACUUGGGAUGGUGUUCUUCUAUGAAUGGGGUUGUAUGUACAUUUGACGUGAUCUGGGACGAGUGUAACCUAAUCAAUAUUGUCUUUCCCCAGUUUUAUUUUGUUAUUUGUUGAACUUAUGACUAUCUUCGGGGCCUACUUGACUCGAACAAUUAAGCCUGAGGGGUUUCUAACCUAGUGCCCUAUGGUCGUCUAACUUGGGAGUUACCGGCCCAAAGUUCGUUACAGGGGUCAUUUAUGUUGCCUAAUGAGGAUUGCAUUGCACUUAAGUUCUUUUGUUAUUCUUAUUUAAAAAAAAAAAAUGGAAUCAUACAGUUAGGGGGAGUAAAAUUGUGACAAUCAUAAUAAUUGAUAUAGGUCCUCGUGGAAUUGGAUUUGACUGUCACUUGGUAGACAUUCACCUUUGUCUGAUUGUUUUCACGUGUCCUUUCUCACUAAUUUAAGGUUUUGAGUCUAACUUGCAUGGACUAUGUGGCACGUUUCACGGUGAUGUUCUGUAUACACUUUCCUCCACAGGAUUCUGAACUAUGUGUGGACUUACGAUUUGUCUACGUGCAGGUUGUCGGGUUUGUGAUUUUAUGCUUUUUGUUGGUUUCGAUUGCAUAAUUGGUUCCAUGCUAUUUUUUUGUUUUUUUUUUUGGGAUUAUUUUCCACUAUUACGUAGUUCGCUUGUUUUUGAAAAUACAUGGGUUAGGGCAAAUUUUGUAAUUUGUUGAACAUUGUGCCAUGUUUCUUAAAAUUCAAAUUUCUAGUGCUAUUUUUGACGUUUGGUUUCUCGCUCGAGUUUCGCCUAGCCUUCGCUCGAGCUACAAAAGCGGUUUGCUUGUCGCCCGAAUCUCGCUAAGGCCUCGCUCGAGCGACAUGUCAAUUUUAAAAGGUCUUGUUUCAUUUUUUCGCGCAACUUCUUCCAUUUCACUCUUGUUUUUUCGUUUCUUCUUGACUUCUUCCAUAUUUCGUCCAUUGAUCACAUAAAUUCGGGGCCCUAAAACAAUUAUUCUUUUUGAUUUCCAUUGCUACACAUCAAAUUGAGGUAUUUUUUUUCUUUUUUCGUUUUUUUUCUUUCAUUCUCCUCGUGUGUUUUGCUUGUUUUUGUGUUCUUGCUUGAUUGUUCCUUCAUUAAUGUAGGCUUCGUCCUUCCUUUGUUUCAUUGGAUGUUAUUUCACGCGUUUUGCAUCACGAUUUCCAUUGAAUUGUUCGUUUUUCAUUCAUUUGGUUAUGUGGUUUUCAUGUUUUUCUUCCAUUUUCAUUAAGUCCGUUCUUGCAUUCCGUUACUCAGUUUCUUAUGUGGUUUGUUUCAUUUUAAAGAGCACGUUUUCUAGUUUGUGGGACUGUGCUUGGUUGUGUGGUUGCGUCUCGUAUGUACUUGGAAUUGUGUACCAAAGUGAUGUACGCCACAUGUUCGAUGCAAGUCCUUAGUUAUAUGUUUUUUUUGUUUCCUUCAUUUUUGUGCUUCUAUUUUCUUUCUUUCCUUUUUGUCGUUGUUUCAUUGCCCUCCCAUGCCAUGUUGAGUGUUUUUACACAUAUUUUUGGUGUAUAUUUACAUCAUACUUCGUUUGCUCUAUGGAUCGUUCACGUUUUUCGAUACAUCUCUUUCGUGCCUCGUUUGAGUGUGCAGUGUUUCACAUCAUAGUGCAUCGUAUCACGUGCAUUCUUCAUCUUACUUAUUAGUUCCGUCUCUCCGUAUGCCAGAUGGCCCGUAAGCGUUCUCGAUCCUCUGCACAGCCAGCUGGUGGUUCGACGUCGUAUAGUCGUUCCAGAUUUAUUUCUGCUACAGCUCAGGAGGUCUUCACUUCUCAGUUCUCCUUACUCCCCGUUCUCGUGGAGCGUGAGGUAAUCUUAUCUGACCUUCCUGUUGAUAUCGCCUCCAUUUUUGUUUCCCGAGAUUGGGAGCCCCUUCUUGUUGGUCUUUCACCUCCUCCCCCACUCCUCGUUCAGGAAUUCUAUGCUAAUAUUCAUGAUAUAGACGGCUCAUCUUUUCGAGUUACUCUUAGAGGUCAUUCUUUUAGGGUUACUCCAUCGGCUGUAGCUCAUGCUUUAGGUAUACCUCAGAUUACCCAUCCGACUUAUCCUUAUAUUUUACCUGCUUCUAUUCCGGCGAUGCUCUUGUUCGGUCGACGCUUUUGAACACUCCGUCUAUCGGGGGGCCUUCGACGAUGGCCACGGGGUCAUUACCUACUGAUCGUCAGGUGUUGUUGCGCAUAGUGUGUACAAACCUGUGGCCGGUUGCCCAUACCUCUUCAUUACCUAUGGUGUAUGCCCGUUUUCUUUAUGCCCUUCUUCAUGGGGACUCGAUCGACUUUCCUAGUUUGUGUGCCAGAAUAUUCUGGCUUCAUUUCAUACUCCUGGGAGUCGGAUCGGGUUGCUUUAUGCUUGCUUGAUUCAUAGGGUUGCUUUGUCGUUGGGUGCUUCCUUUCUAGAGGGUUCGACUUGUCGCAUAGGACGUCCGAUAGGACAGCAGACCAUUCAUUAGAGUCGAUCCUAUGUACCGUCAUCUUCCUCUUCUGCUCAUGCUACAAGUCAGGUAGCGGCUGUUGAUGUUUUUGAUCUUUCGGAGCCCUUUGAUCCUAUUACUGAGAUUCUUACUGGGGGUUCCCGUGUGUUUCUCCCGCCUCGUACGGAUUUUCCUUCGGCCAUUCCACUUAGUUCUGCCUUUCCUUCGACAUCUACUUCUUCUCCUGGGGUGGCUGCUUUGCCAUUGACCCCAUGGUGACGCUUAUGGGACAGAUGUCUACUUUGGUCGAGCAGCAGGCUCGUAUGAUGGCAGAGAUCACGCAGUUACGUGUUGCGUCGGAGCGUCAGUCAGCUGAGCUUUCUUCCUUUCGCUGUGCUCUUGCAAUGUGUUAGCAUCAUUUGCGUUGGAUUCGUGAUACUAUGGAGGAGGACACGAGUGCUGAGAGCGGAGCUGAGUCUUCAGAUGCUGGAGGUGUUGCCUCGUAGUUAGGUAGUUAAUUGUUUUGAUCCUUUGUCCUUUGUGACAAAAAGGGGGAGUAGAUAUUUGGAUAGAUGAUUGGAUAGAUAGAUAUCGAUAUUUGGAUCGAUAGAUAUAAAUUUUUUGGUGACUAGAUUAAGUUUUUGAUGUUUUGGCAAUACUAAUGUAUGUUUUUGGUGUUUUUGACUUACAUUAGUAUUGCUUCUUAAUCUGGUUAAUGAUAUACGAUCUAUUUCUUUUUUUAUUUACUGUUUCCAUUUCACAUGCUUUUACACUUGGUAUUUAAGUUUUUGAUUUUCAGGAAACAGGUUCAACAAGAUAUUGCUAAUUUGGUUGAAUAGAUAGGUUGUUUGGAGUCAUGUUUAUUUCUUCCUUGACUGUCAUAUGUAUUUUUAUCACAGAAUGCCAAAGGGGGAGUUUGUUAGGAAAAUGUGUAAUUGGCAAUCUGUGAUCAAAGGACCUAUUUGUCAUGUUUGUAAAGUCAGGGACCAAAUUGGAAAGGUCUAAUAGUUCAGGGACUAGAGUUGCAAUUUAAUAAAUUUCAUAGCAUAGAUCUAGGGUAAAGUGGGAUGCUUUGAAGAUGCGAACGGCGCGUUGAUUUCGCUAGAGUUUCGCCCUGACCUUGCUCGAGCCAAAAUUGCAGAACUGAUCUCGCUGGAGUUUCGCUGGGCAGUCGCUCGAGUUUCGCCAGCACCUCGCUCGAGCGAUGGUGUUAUCUGGCCAUUGGNNNNNNNNNNNNNNNNNNNNNNNNNNNNNNNNNNNNNNNNNNNNNNNNNNNNNNNNNNNNNNNNNNNNNNNNNNNNNNNNNNNNNNNNNNNNNNNNNNNNNNNNNNNNNNNNNNNNNNNNNNNNNNNNNNNNNNNNNNNNNNNNNNNNNNNNNNNNNNNNNNNNNNNNNNNNNNNNNNNNNNNNNNNNNNNNNNNNNNNNNNNNNNNNNNNNNNNNNNNNNNNNNNNNNNNNNNNNNNNNNNNNNNNNNNNNNNNNNNNNNNNNNNNNNNNNNNNNNNNNNNNNNNNNNNNNNNNNNNNNNNNNNNNNNNNNNNNNNNNNNNNNNNNNNNNNNNNNNNNNNNNNNNNNNNGUUGGGUUUUCUCCGUCAACAUUUUGUGGUGUUUUUACUGCUUUUUGUUAUUUAUUUUUCAACCGGUAAUUCAACUUAGGUAGAUAAAGUAUGUGAAUGAAUUUAGGCAAUGCAUAAUUUAUGUGACUUGUUGCAUAAGUUAAUUAAUUGUUUUAAUUCCGCAUAAACACCUAUUCACUCCCCCUCUAGGUGUUGGUUGGGUCGAACUAUAUCUUUUUUAUUGUAAAAGGCUAUUUUUCUUGUAGUGAUUUGACUUUUAAAAGUAAUAUUGUGUCGCUUUUUAUUUUAUUAAAAAGCAAGAUGUUUUAUAAAAACGGUGACAUUGUGUCACUUUUUAACUAUUUUUUACUUCCAAAAAAUUAUUCAUAUAAUUUUUCAAAAGACUCCUGUUUUUAAGGGUAUUUUUGUAAGUUGUCCAUUUCUAAUUGGGCACGCCAAUCUCGUGAAUGAUGCAGGGCUUCAAAACAUAUGGAAAAUCUAAUAUGUUAUGUGUCAUAAUAGAAAUAAUAUAUGCAGAGGCAGGAAGUAUCUUGUUACUGCCAGGUGACGACAAAUGUGAAAUAAAAUUAACACUGAAAUAUGCAACUGGAACAAAGAACACAUCAAUGGGAACUGCAUAAAUGAUUGACAACUAGAUUUGCGAACCCAAAUAUUAACUUUAUAGAGCGCUAAAACGGAAUUUUAAAAUAUAUUCCGCAAAGUUCAACUUGAGGGAGAGAGAUAUUUCAUAGCUGUCACCUUUAAUUAAUUCAACUCCAUCCAAGCGUGCUUGGGAGGAAAAACAGGUGGAGGAGGAGAAAGCUCUUCAUCCUCGGAUUUAAUUUUGACAAAGCCUUCUUCACUUCCAUUGGAACUAAGCCUACGACUUACAGAGAACACUAAUUUGUCCCACCAUGUCAACCGUGAGUGGUAGCAUCUUACUCAAAAGGUCGCACUGGUAUGUACAGUAUGACAUCCCCAAUUUCGCUGGUAUAAUUACUUCAGGCAAUCUUAGCACUUCCAUUCUCUCGCAUUACACUAUAUGGAAGAUGUUGAUCCAUGCCAAAUUGCAUGGUCUAUAAAGGGCGCUAAAUUAAAUCUUCUUUAGUACCAUCUAGUGCCAAUAAAACUUUAAUUUCUUCGUUCCCACUUCUUUUACACCAUUCCAUUGAGGCAAUCUUGACCCACCAAGCCAAGCCCAUUGGGCUUGGGACAUAUAUGUUGGAAUCUCUCCCAAACCCAAGCCUGCACCAUUUGGAAUGGGGCUGUGACCUUUACUUCAACAGAUUUCUUUUGUCCUCUUCUAGUUUUACAUUUUUCUGAAGUAUCAAGGGUGCCUUUUACUGUAGUCAAAUUUCUAUAAAUGUCAACAAGAACAGCAGGUGAAAGUGCAAGUUUUGUACCUUUAACUAAACUGACCACAAUGGGUAGAUUAGCUUUGCUUAUAGUGUCGCGUCCAUAUGGAAAAACAAGAUAGCCAGUAAGCAAGAACUGCUUCAUGUAAUGGAAGUAAGAGAGGAGGAGAUGUGGAGAAGGAAAGAAAAGAAAAUUUAGUUAUUAUAAUCUCUCUCUUUUCCAUGUCAUUUAUCUGUACAACAUUAUGUACAAUGUAUAACAAUACUCAUAUUUAUCUAAGAUAUCCUAAAUUUAUGUAUCUUUUUUCUCCCUUUGAUUUUUUUUUCUUGCUUUAUAACCACAUUAUGUACUGGAAAAGUUUUACAAAACUUUGUCUUCCCCAUUUUCCUUUAGUUGAAAUGGAGUUGAAACAUAUGUUCCAUUGUCACUUUCUUUAUUGCAGUUUUUUGGUAUAGGCCUGUUUGAAGCCCAUUAAUUUCUUGUAAUGUAUUAUGGAAUAAUAAAUUGAUGGGAAAUGUAUAGUUAAAAAAGAAGGAUUUUAUUUUAUUUUAUUUGCGUGUAAUAUUAUUUUAAUGAAGAUUGUUGUAGAAAAACAAAUAAAUGGGAAAAUAUGGGGCUCAAACAGGGGCAUAGUCUUUCUUUGUUGUUACACAUAAAGAAAUCUAACAUUUUUAUUUUGAACAACUGCUUUUAGUGGGAAAUUUACUGCCAUAUCAUUGAUAUCCAUAUAUUUGUAGGAAGAAUCAGUACGCCUAAUUUUGUUUUUCAUAAUUUUAUUUUCUUGACAAAACAGGCCCUAUUGAGUUUAUUCAAGACAGGAUAGUAUGGUAUGGUCAAUAAUUAUUAUGUCGAUCACCGGAAAAAUAUUGAACCAAGCCAAAUUGCAUGGCAACAGAAUGCAAAAGAUUCUGCUCUGUGUAGUGUUCAUCUAAGCAAACAAACUUGCAGGCACUAUUUUCUUUCAAACCAGCCACGACUAUACCAUAUUUUCUUUUUCCUUUUAAUUCAUGAACAAAGGGCUGCUAGGAGUGUCAUCAACUCAUUUUUAAUUUUUUACUUUCUUUAGUUACUUCAUGUCAUCAGGCAAAUCUUGGCUUCCCAUGUCUAGAAUUAGCUGUGGCUCUAUAAUGAGAAAAGUUUUUGAAACUGAACCUGAAUUACUAUCGAAUCAAUUAUGAUAUAUGCAUAGGUAUGCAUAAACUGAUUGUGUGAAACUUUAUUCACGAAAUGAGUUACCAAAUGGGAAUCUGAUUUCCAACAUAAACAACAAAUGCAAGUGAUAAGACGGUGCCUCUAGCCAACAGAAUUGGGUCAUGACAACAUUUUCUUAUCAUCCAAAAAUGUUGGAAAGACAAAAUGUACAAGCAGGGAGUCAAAAAUGGGUUGUGCUUAGUUUCAUUCCCACUAUUUAAUGGCAGAUCCAAGAAUUUAGGUGCGAACAGGCGACCACUAGAUGGUCACUCGAGCGGCCAUUGAGCAAUGGCCUAAUAUAAAGAGAUUUUUUUUUGGCGAAGCUAGCACGGGCAGCCAAAGGGCUCAUUGAGUGCUGACUCUACCCCUGCUACUAUCCAUGAAUUAUUCCAUCCAUGUUUUUGGGCUCUGUGCUUCAAUAAUUUAGAGUUGAUUUCUCCCACAACUCUUUUGUAAGAGAGCGCGAAGCUAAGUAACCAAAGACAGAAUAGGAGACAGGAUCAUUAUGUCCUCAAAUGUAACAUUUUGAUUAUGAAAAUAUAAAUGGAUCUAUAAAAUUUUUAAUUUUAGUCAUUUCAUUAGACCUCAUUUCCCAACUAUAUUAAUAUAAUUAAAACAACACUUCUAAAGUUAAGUAACCAGAAAAAUAUAUCUAGCUUUCUCAAAUUGAAAGAGCUUAACCCUAAGUUUUAUGUUGUUCAAUCUCAGUUUUAUGUUGUUCAACACAAUACAUUUCAAUGAAAUUUUGUAAUUGGGUAUCAGCAGUCUUCAAAAUAGAUGGAAAGUUAUGUAUCAUAAUCAGGGCCGGCCAGUUGAAUUUUGGGGCCUUAUGCCAACUUCAAAUAUGGGACCCUUAUAAAUAUUAAAUAAAAAAUAUUUUUUCUAUUAAAUAAAAAUAUUCAAAGUUACAAUAAUAAUAAUCUAAAACUUUAAUAUCUAAAUCAAAUGUACUCUCUGCUUUUAUAGGGGAAAAAAAUCAAUAUGUCAUAGAACUUUUUUCAACCAACACCACAAUGUCAUCCAUUCAACCUGUAUUGUGACGUUGUUGAUUGAGCGUGGGACUUUUUCAACUAAAAAUAGAAAUAUCCUCACAAAAACUUCUCUCUAGUUUUGUUAAUAGUUUUUUAAUUUCCUGGAUUACUAAUGUCUAAAUGCGAAGGGUAGACAUUUUAAAUUAGUCUCUUCAUAUUGCUCGUUUCUAUUUUCUUCAUCCUCCAUUUUUUUUGGCUCAGGAUUCAAUAAAUUUUCAUGCUUUAUAUUUAUAUUUUCUUUACUUUGAACCUUCUUGUUUUCAAAUUCUUCGUUAAUUGCACUUUGACUUUAUUUUACUUGUAAUUCUUUAUAAAUUAUAUAGUAAUUUUUUUGGGGCCCUCACCAAAGCAGGGCCUAAGCGAUCGCCCCAUCUAUAGUCAAGAUAGGCUGGCACCGAUCAUAAUAGAAGAAUUAUAUGGAUAUGCUGGAAGUAUCUUGUUACUGCUAGGCAAGGACAAUAAUGUGAAAUAAAAUUAACAUUGAUAUAUGCAACUGGAUGCCCAAACAGUGAACACAAAUGGAUACAGCAUAAAUCAUUGAUAACUAGAUUUGCAAACCCAAAGAUUAUAUUAACACAAAUGCAAAAUUUUACAAAAAAAAUAAAUAAAUAAAUAAAUAUGGAAUUUAAAAUAUAUUCUGCAAAGUUCACCUUGAGCUAGAUAUUUUUCAUAGCAGCUGUCAUCUUCAAUCAGUUAUACUCCACCCAAGCAUGCUUUGGAGGAAAACCCGGUGGAGGAGGAGGAAGUUCUUCAUUUUUUGAUUGAAUCAUAAUAGACCCUUCUUUUCAUGCAUCUGAACCAACAUUAGUACUACCUCUUCUGGAAAACCCUAUUUUAUCAAACCAUGUCAAGUCUCGGGUGGUGCCAUCUCACUCAAAAAGUCGCUCUAGUAUAUUCAAUAUGGAAUCCCUAGUUGCCGUGGUAUACUGACUCCAAGAAUCUCAUAUCUUCCAUUCUCUCGCAUUACACAACAUGGAAGAUCUUGAUCCAUGCCAAAUUGCAUGUGCACAUGAUGUGAGACAUUGCUCAAUGCAAUCAACUUCCAGGCUAACAAGUUCGCUUGGUCUCAGACAUCGCACAAGCUCCUCAAGUUCAUCAUCUGAACCGGAUUGAAUUAAUUCCCAGCAAUAUAUAUUUUAAACCAUGUGAGGGAAGAAGUUAUUUGCAGCCCUCAUGGAAGGGUACCAAAUAAAAUCUUCUUGAACGCCAUCUAGUUCCAAUAGCAGCUUAAUUUUUUCAUCACCACUUCCAUUACGCCAUGUCAUUGAGCCAAUCUCUGCCCACCAAAUCCAAUUCGAAUUGGGCUUGGGACAUAUUGUUGGAAUCUCUCCCAAACCAAAGGGUGCACCAGUUGGAAUAGGAAGAGGUAUAGGAGAAUAAAGGGAAUAAAACGAUGCAACAAACUUAAAUCUCUAUGUCUUCUUUGCCUGUUUCAAUGAUCAACAGUAGAAUUUUCAAUAAAUGUCAGUAAGAACAGCAUAUGCAAGUGUUGUACCUUUAGCUAAAUUUACAGCAAUGGGCAGAGCAACUUUGCUUAUUAUGCCACACCCUUAUGAAAAAACAAACUGUGAUAGCCAGUAAUCAAAGCUUCUCUUUGCUUAUAGUGUUGCAUCCAUAUUGGCUGUCAGAGUUUUCUGUUCCAUAUGGAUGUGACAAAAUGAACAAAGCUGCUCUUCUCAUUGCUGUCAGUUUAGCUAAGGGCACAAAACUUGCAUUGGCUCCAGCUAUUCUUGCUGACAUUUAUAGAAUUUUGAGUACAUUGAAAGGUGCCCUGGUUACUUAUGUAAAAUGUAAAACUCGACAAGGAAAAAUGAAAGCUAUUGAAGCCAAGGUUACAACUCCUUUCCAACUGAUGCAAGCUUGGGUUUGGGAGAGAUUCCCUGCAAUAGAUUCCACGACCAAUUUCAUUGGGUAUGGUGGGCCAAGAUUGGCUCAAUGGCAUAUCAUCAAGGUAGUGGGAACGAAGAUACGGAAGUAUUAUUUGCACAAGAUGGCGCUAAAGAAGAUUUUAUCUGGCACCCUUACACGAGGUCUGCAAACAAUUUCUUACUCAAAAUGGUUUACAAAGAAAAUUAUUAUUGGUAAUUACUUAAAUCUAGUUCAAGUGAUGAAUUUGAGGGGCUUGUGCGAUGUUUGAGACCUAGGGAGCUUGUUAGUCUAGAAGUUGACUGCAUUGAGCAAUAUCUCCCACAUCAUGUGGCCACGCAAUUUGGCCUGGAUUAAGAUCUUCCAUGUCCUGUAAUGUGAGAGAAUGGAAGUUCUAAGAUUGCUUGGAGUAAUUACACCGAUGCAAAUGGGGAUGCCAUAUUGUAAAUACAAGACUUUUUGAUUCAAAUGCCACCACCCGAUACUUGGCAUGGCUAUCAAUCACAUGAUUCAAGAAAAACAAUGGGAAUGUUUCUUCUGUUAGACUCUUGUGAAACGAAACAACAUCUUCGUUUUUGCCUCAGAGCACAGUUCCCUGUGCAUAAAUUUUAGUUCAACGAUAUUUUUCCUUCAAAUCAUGCCAAAGGAACAAUUUCAAUUGUAUAGUUAAUGGACCCAGGCUUGAAUGCUAAGGUUGAAAUCUCUAUCGAGAGCAUACCUAAACAAGUUGUGAAGGGUCAAAAGUUUAAUUCACAAAUUUUUAUUAGAGCAAUACUAUUUAGCACCUGUGUUAAAACACGUCUACGUGACGUUAAAGUUUCACUAAAUCAUAGGCCUAAUUAAAUGACCAUGUUUUCAGCAUUAAUUGGGCCUAUCACUUAGUGUUACAUAGAAUGCUGAUACUAGACAACAUUAUUCUUUUAAUUAUCUUGUUGCAUCAAAAGUUGUUGCAAAUUAUUUCAAACUAAUGUAACUCAAAUUAAUGUAUCUGAUGCAUCUAAUUUAUUCUUAACAAACAAGCUUUUAAGUUUUUAUUGUUAUUAACUAUUUUUAUAAUGAUUUAUUAGAUAUAAAUAAAAAGCUUGCCCUUAAUUUUUGUUUUUUUCUUACGGAGUUUCUGGAAUUAUUCAAUAGUUAAAAAAGAAUAUAAUCUACCUUUUUAGGUAGGCUUCUGAUUUUAAUAUUAGUUGAUAUCUUUUCACAAUUUCUACUACUUAUUAUUCGACCAUUUCAUGAGAUCUAGAGCUUAUAAACAGUUAACAAGAGGGCGACAAGGGACAUCGUUCUGCCCUAACUCUUAUUUUUAUUAUAUUUUAAUUAUAUGUUAAUAAAAUUUAAAUCAUAUUCGAAAAAUAAGAAUAUUUUAAUCUUCGCACAUUCCGUCGCCCUCCCUACAUCUUUUCUUUAAACUUUUGAUUCAUGCCGGGAGUUUUUAUCUUUGAUUUAAAUAUUUUAAUUAAUUUUUUUUCUUAAAUAUAAUUUUAUGAUGUUUCCACUACAAAUAACUUUCACUUGUCAAUUCAAAAUAAAUAUCUUGAUUAAAUACAAGAAACAUGUGAUACCGCAACACAUUAAAAUAAAUAAAUGAACACUAUAUAUGUAAACAAUGGCAACAAUAAAAACAUUGAUAAAAAUUUUCCUAAAUUGACAAGAAACUCUGUGGAAUGUCACUAGAUAUCCAACAGAAAAAUUUACUGGUCAAUCUAUAAAGAGAUUUUUACAGAUCUACCUCUAUUAUAUCAAACAUUACAUGAAUAAAAUUUGGGAAAAAAUAUAUAGAUAUAUGUAAAUUAGUAAUAGAACCUAAUAGAAAUUAACAUCAGAUUUACCAAUGGUGCUUUACUGAAGAUUUUUUUUUUUUUUUUAAAACAUAAGAAUUCAUUGAAUUAUAUAUCAUUGAUGUCGAAGAAGCAUUACCUUACACGGAGAUAGAGAGAAAUGAAAAAACUCCUAUAUAUAUUUUUUUCUUGUUCACUCGAUCGCUUACAACAAGCUAUUUCCAAUGUAUCAACAUGCCUGAUUUUCCAUAUAAUGAUAGAUAUGAAAAAAAAAGUUGGCGGCGGGGUGAAAAGGAGAAAAAAGAAUUAGGUUUUGAGGCGAAUCUGAAUAAGUGAAAUAGCUCACUUUUUAUAGACUAGCGUAAGACACAGUGCACAACACUCUUUUUGACUUUCGAAAGUUCUAGAAUGACUAUCUCAUUUUGAAAUAUUUAAUUAAUAAUAUACUUACGAAGAAUGUGAGCUACCGUCAAAUCUAACAUGAUUAUUCGAAUUAGUAGGCAUAGACACGAAGAGUAAUUAGCACAACUCUGAAACCACAUGGUGAAUUAUCAGACUUUAAAGACCAUGAGAGGAUAAUUAUUAAUAAUUGUUAAUUGCACAGAGGAAACUUGCAUUGACCCUUUACCAGAAAUUGUUAUCACCUUAAAGGAUUCUCGACAUCACAUCAUCUACUACAUAGAGAAACCUUAUUAUCUACCAAUUAAUUAUUGUAUCAACACUAAAAAAUGACUUCACAGAAAAAUCUUUAAUUUGCUUACAAGGAUGGAUCUUUUAUACUAAUCAAGGUAUAAGAGGAUUGUAAUGGAAAUACUAUGGAGCAAAUGUAAUUACUUCGUUAAUUAUCUUUAGAUGUCCCUGUGCUAAUAGUCUAAUAAUUGGAAUCUCUUUUUGAAUGAAAUUACAAUAUAAUAUUUUGGAUAUCUAUUAAACUAUUAUUGAAUCAUCUGAUAUAAAAGUAUGUACGUAAAACUUGAAAUUUGCAUACAUCCACGCUCGAAUUUUAUCCCCAUAUAGUUAGAAUUUUCUUAAAUUCGAAUUUCAUGAUGAGCUUAUUUGUCGAAAGAUCAAUCUAAAUUUGAAUUAAAAGUCCUAUUAAAAUUCUAACUCGUUAACUAUUCUUAUCUAAUCACACCUAUAAAUACCCUCUUGUUGUUGUGUUUUAAUUCACACAAAUUCAGAGAUAAAGAAUAGAGAGAGAGGAAAAAAAAGAAAGGCAAGAAAGAGAGAGAAGAAUGAAAGGGAAGGAAAAGAAAAAAAAUUGGUAUGUUCAAGAUCUGUUCGCAAGAAUUUUCCGUCAUAAUUAGCUCAAUACACAAGAAAUUUAACGAAUAUGGUAUUGAUUUUUUUUAAAUGCCAAGUGAUUUUAUGUUUUUACUUUUUAAUUUUUGACGUUAAGUAUUUUAUGUGCUAUUAUGUGAUCCAAAUUAAAUAAGGAUCUUGCGGAUAAUGAUAUAGGGUAUUAUGUAGAUCUAUACAAAAACCAGCCAUAUGGCUAAAUGCCCUAAAUCGAGAUUUAGAAUGGAUAUGACCUUAGUGAGAAUGACUCGAUCAGGUUUCCAUUUCACUAGAAAAUUAUGUUAUGUACGUAUUUUACUUGCUAUUUUAUAGGGACCUUUUGCUAAUAUUCUAAGUCAAAGAAUUCAAAAGAUUCUGCUCUAUGUAGCCUGCAUCUAGGCAAACAAACUUGUAGACCCUAUAUUCAUUUUAAUCGGCGACUACUACACCGAAUCUUCCUUUUCCUUGUAAUUCAUGAUCAAUGGGCUGCUAUGGAGUGUCAUGAUCAAAUCAUUUUAAUUUCUACCUUCUUUAAUUACUUCACAUUGUCAAGAAAAUCAUGGCUUCCAAUGUCUAGAAUUAGCUUUGCCUCGUCAUUAGAAUAUUUUUGAAAAUUUGAACCCGAUUUAGUAAUGAAUCAAAUCAUGGUAUGUAUAUAGGUACGCAUGAUUUUGUGUGAAACUUUAUUCGCAAAUGAAUUAACAAAGGGAUCCUGAUUUCCAGCAUGAACAACGAAUGCAAGUGAUAAGAUGAUGCCUCUAGCCAACGGAAUUGGGAAGACAAAAUGGAUAAGCAGCAAGCCAGAAAGGGGUUGUACUCAAUUUCAAUCCUGCUACACACGAACUAUUAAAUCGAUGCCUUUUAGCUUGCUUUUUUUGUGUGCUUUGUUUUGUGUACUACUGAUAAUACGGCCUGUGUGAUAAUAACAUAAAUUAUGCUCUUUGCCAAAUGAAUGGUGACAGAUUCAUGUGUAACGGAAAAUAAUUUUGGAAAAGAAUAGAGUUGUGAAGAUAUGUCAACUAUUAUGUUAAUAAUUCUGGCACUGUAGUAUAAUUGUAAUAACUUAGUUAACUUCUUCCAUGACUCUUUUGUAAGAGAGAUUAGGAAGCCAAAUCACAAGAGAGAGAAUAAUAGACAUGGUCUUCAUGUCCUUUAAUAUAAAAUUUCGAUUAUGAAAAUGUUUACGGAAAUCUAUGUAAGCUAUUUAGUUUAACUCAUUUCAGUAGACCUUAAGUUCCAAUUAUUAUCAUUUAAUUAAAACUACACUUCUAAAUUUGAAGGAACCUGAAAGAUCUCUCUAGCAUUCUGAUAUCGGAAUAGCUUAACGCCUUAACCCGUAGUUUUAUGUUGUUCAAUGCAAUAACUUUAAAUGAAAUUUCUAAUCGGGCACGCCAGUCUCAUGAAUGAUGCAGGGCUUCAAAACAUAUGGAAAAUCUAAUUUGUUAUGUGUCAUAAUAGAACAAAUAUAUGCAGAGGCAGGAAGUAUCUUGUUACUGCUAGGUGACGGCAAAUAAUGUGAAAUAAAAUUAACACUGAAAUGUACAACUGGAUAUCCAAACAGAGAACACAUCAAUGGGAACUGCAUAAAUGAUUGACAACUGGAUUUGCAAUCCAAAUACUAAAUAUUAAAGAACGCUAAAAAUGAAUUUUAAAAUAUAUUUCGCAAAGUUCACCUUGAAGGAGAGAGAUUUUUCAUAGCAGCUGUCACCUUUAACCAAUUCAACUCCACACUAGCAUGCUUGGGAGGAAAACCAGGUGGAGGAAGAGAAAGUUCUUCAUCUUCAGAUUUAAUUUUGACAAAGCCUUCUUCACUUCCGUUGGAACAACCUAAGGCCUACAGCUUCUAAAAAACCCAAAUUUAUCCCACAAUGUCAAGCGUGACUGGUAGCAUCUUACUCAAAAAGUUUCGCUGGUAUAUACAAUAUGACAUUCCCAAUUUCCCUGGUACAAUUACCUCAAGCAAUCUUAGCACAUCCAUUCUCUCGCAUUACACUAUAUGGAAGAUAUUGAUCCAUGCCAAAUUGAAUGGUCUAACAAGGGCGCUAAAUUAAAUCUUCUUUAGAACCAUCUAGUGCCAAUAAAACUUUAAUUUCUUUGUUCCCACUUCCUUUGCGCCAUUCCAUUGAGGCAAUCUUGAUCCACCAAGCUUAAUUCAAUUGGGCUUGGGACAUAUAUGUUGGAAUCUCUCCCAAACCCAAGCCCGCACUAGUUGGAAUGGGGCUGUAACCUUUACUUCAACAGAUUUCUUUUGUCCUAGUCCAGUUUUACAUUUUUUUGAAGUAUCCCCUUCUUUACUUAGAACACUUUAUGCAUAAAACUCUCAUUGUUAUUUAUUUCCCAAGAAUAAGUACCUAUAUGGUGUCUGGCAUUAGCAUUGGCAUUAACUUCAUAUUCUUUAUCCUCUACAAAAAUUAUCUUAAAAGUCAAAGGUGAAGAGCUCGUGGAAUUGUACCUUUGUUUGGAUACCAUGGUCAUAUACUACCAAUUUUGAUGCCGCUACUUAAAAGGAAAAUACGUUAUAAAUUAAAGUUUAUACUAUGUCUUAAGAAUCAAAUUUUAGUCCAAGCAUUCCUUUAUUCAAAAAGAUCAAUAAAAUUAGAACAAAUAUAGUUAGUGAUUAUCUAAAUUCAAAUUCUUUUCUUGUUUAAUUAUAGACAAGUUUAGAUCGUGUAAAGAAGUAAUAACAUGUCAUUUUAUUAACAAAGAGCGGUAUUGAACUCUAUAAUUGAAACCGUGAUAUGAACAUUUUACUCGAAUUUGAGAAGCUUUAUGAAAUGAUUUAAUUUCCCCAUUUUUUAUAGACAUUUUAGUGAAAGAUCUUUCAUACUCUUUGAGAUCCAUUAUAGGUUACCAGAGCCAAAAUGGUUAUCAACAAUAUAUGACUAGACGUGUAUGUUUAGAAUUCAUUUGUUGAAAUUUAGUGCCUAAAUAACAAUUAAAUAGUUACUAUAAUCAAUGUUGAAUACUUUAAUGACAAAUUUAGCACAUUAAAUUACGAGAGACAAAUUAUUCAACACAAUUCAGUCAAAUGUAAAACAACAUACAAUAUUCAACCCUCAAUUCAUUAAAAAAAGAAAAAAGAAAAAAAGAAGAUCAUAAGUAACAUUUUACAUUUUUCUAUUUCUAUUGUUUCACAUUAGGUAAAAUAAUGAUUAUAUUAAAGUAUUUAUUUCACUAUUUUCUUGUAUUUCUAUUGGUAAAGUACUCUAGUCGUCAAAGUAGGAAUUAUGUAUUAAUAACUCAUCAUUUUUGACCAAUCUUCAUGAAAAUGCACGAGUUAAAACUUCAUAAGUUUUAGUGACAAUAAUGAUUGAAGAUAGGGGCAACUAAGACCGGCCUUUUCAUUCCUAUUCAGUCUAUAGCUAACAUAAAUCCCGACUUAUUCAAUUGUCAUUACUAGCUGCAAGUACCCUCUCCUUUUUCACUCUCUUUUUCUCUUUUUUGUUUCCACGCUUCUUUAGGGUUUAACAAAUCCUCUUCCACGUACAACUGUAUUAUAAUUUAUGACGAAUCUGAACUCUCUCUCUAUUUUGAUAGUUAGGUCAUAGAAAAUGCGAAGAACAACGUCGUAUGCUAGGCUAGUUUAGUCUUUGGUAACAGAGUAGGGUUUUGUACUUCCACGUCGAAGAAUAGCAAUAUAUAAUGAUACUUCCACAUCGAAGAAUAGCAAUGAUACUUCCACAUUAAGAAUAGCAAUGAUAAGAUCCUAGCUUCAGUAGUGUUUGAGAGACUCUCAAUUGUCAUCCCCAAAUCCGGCCCUGUUGUUUAUAUUUUUUAAGAGUUUUCGUGAGCAACUUUUCUUUGUCCAUAUGUUUAUCUUUAAUUUUUCUUUAGAAAUAGUGAAGGUGAACCAACUUGUGUUUGUGAUCUUAUUACGUUUUGUUUUCUACAGUAAACGAGAAAUUAGUUUUGACAGCAUUAAUGUGAUUUUAUUCCACUUUUUUGUAGAAAUUUGAUCUUCCAUUAAUGUUAUGUUGUUUUAAAGAAAAAUUGCAUUUUAAUUUUUGCCCCUACAAUACAAAAAGUCUGGCUUCGCCCUAGUUCAAUGCAUAUAAGUUAGUUAACUCCAUUGAUUAUGGAUUGGAAAAAUAGAUAGGCAACUUAGAAAAAGACAGACUGAUAUUUUAUUCCAAGGCAAUAUACACGGUACAUGAUGGUGUGCAUAUUUCUACAUUGAUGAACCACCGAGUAAUGGCCUGAAUAUUCAGCACGGGUGUUUUCGUAAGUUGCACACAGUAGGAAGAUCUCCAGCCAGCUCGAGCAUAGCCUCCAUAUCCUCAACGCUGACGCGGCCACUGUCUAUCAUGUUCUUCAUCAUAGUCCUCACAACAAAGCACACGCACUGCUUAUCGAUGCUGCUCAGCUCAUUUCUACAGCAACGUCUUUUAUAAUGUUUUUUUGGAAUAGGGCAACACUAUUGUGGCAUCAGCUCUAUCAAAUUCGAGUUUCAGGUACGUCUCGCAAUUUGGGAAGCUGCGUGUCUGAAUCUCUCUCUGGCAUUGUUGAUUCUCCUCUUCAUUGAUUGUGGUGGUGGUCACGGUGGUGGCUAAGACUUCGUCCAAGGCCACGAGAGCCAAGAGGAGGAUAGCACCAACACUUAUAAUUUUCUUUACCAUUGUAAAUUCGAUCUCUGGUGGAGGAAUGGUGGUGAAGGGUAUUACUAUUUAUAGUGAGUUCGGAGGCUUGCAUGGUAUUUUACGUGUUGAAAUUGUGUUCGAGGUGGCUAAAUCUUGCUUCCACGUACAACAAUUGCAUGCAAAUUAUUCCACAUGUGGCAUGCAUUGAUUUCGAGGUUACUACUUUUUUUGCCUUUCCUAUUUCAGUAAAAUAAUUUGUCAUAUGGUAACUUUUCUCAUCCAUUUUAUUUAUUUAUUUUUUAACGUAAGUUUAAGCUAUUUGUACAUUCUGCCUUACAUAUCUCUUAACAUAUUAGUUAUGGGGCAAUUUGUUAAUGGCUGGAUUAAAGAUGUGAAAGAUGGUGUGAUAACUUGCCAAAUGUAAAUUCUGCAAGUAAAGAUAUACAUGUAGUAUGAUUUUUUUACAUAUCCUCAAUAAAAGUAACAUGUUGUUUACUUGUUUAUGAGCCUAGCUAUUUCGAGUUUAUCUGGAUGAGGGCCAGAACCAUUUGUAUUUUUCCUACAAUUAAGAAUUCUAUUUCACGUGACUUGUAAACCCUUGAAAGUGUAGAGACAAACUACAAAUGUGCCAACAUUGAUUCACUCUAUUGCUCAUGAAGAGUGAUUGAGAAAAUAUUGCAUCCUCUAGCUAUCACCCGUCAUGAACAUGAAAAAAAAAUUUGGGUUUACAUAUAAUAUAUUUUAUUAGAGAGUGUGUGGUUGAUAAAAAAAAAGAAAAAUGUAUUUUGAAAUUAAUGAAGCCUAGAAAGUAUUUUUCAGUCAGCAAUAAAAUUAAGUGUUAAAUACAAAGAGUUUGUUGGAGUACUUAAAAUUUUUUACUAGCUAAAUUUAUAGAAGCUCUCUAAAUUGUAUAUACUCUUUAAAAAUGAAGUUCUAUUGAAGAUGUUCUAAGACAUUAAGCCUUUGUUUGGUGAAAAUUAAAACUAAAUUUUUAGUAGAUUUUUAUAAAAGUUGAUAAAAUAUGUGACUGAAUGUUAUGGGUCCCGUUAAAUAUGGCAUUGAAAUUAAUUGUCAACUUUGACUUAGACUAAAAUCUUGAUUUUAAUUUCCACGAAACAGAUUUUUUUUUUUUUUUGGGUUGAAUAUUGAAUAAAAAUUAGGACUUUGGAAUUUUCUCUGUCUUUCGAUCUAAAUGAGUAUUUCUGCGUAAGAAUCAAUGGUUUGUUGACUAAGAAUUAAUUCUUGGUAUUCGUGUGCGAAUGAACGAGUCUUGACUGUCAAGUAUCCAGUACUCUUAUAAAAAAUUGAUGGAUAUUUUUAGUUUCUUCUUAGUUACCGUUAAUUUUUCUCUCCAGCCUACAUCAGAACCUUUUGCUGCUGAAAAUGCUGAGGCCCUCGUACUAAGAGAAGGUCUGAAUUUCAUUUGAGAUAUAAUGGUUGAAUUCAGUCAAAUUCUUUCAUUGUUUCGGGAAAUUAUAGCACUGAGGUGGACUUGGUUUAUGGCACUUGUCGCUUUACUCCCAAGAGGGGAAUAAGUUGGCUCUCAAACUCGCUUCUAUAGCUGCAGAGGGUCUAGUACUCUAGUUGAUAAAGUUUUGGUCGAUUGUAUUCGAUAUUCCAUCUUGCCUGUAUAGCGCAUCAAUAGUUAAUAAAAUUCUUGUUUACAGGAAAAAAAUGUCUGCAUCUUAUUCUUUCAUCUUCCUUGGGAGUAAGUAUUAGAAUUAGCUUCCGCAUUACUUUAUUUUAUCUAAGAGCUCCAAAAUAUAUUGAUUUAUAACCAUAUAUGUACUGGAAACGUUUUACCAUACUUUGUCUUCCCCAUUUUCCUUCAGUUAAAAUGGAGUUGAAACAUAUGUUCCAUGGUGACUUUCUUUGUGCAUUUGGGUAAAUCUAACCAUUUGUUUUGAACUGCUUUCAGUGGGAAAUUUACUGUCAUAUCAUUUACUGAUAUUAGAGUCUCUAUGUUCAAGUCGUUAUAUCAUAGUACUAUUUGCUUUGGUAGAGCAUCUAUCCCUUUACCUCUCACGACUUUAUGUCACAUCCUCUAGAAUUUGAACUCAAGACUUCUACCUUAUGAAAACUUCAGUUAAAUCCUUAUGAUCUAAUGGGUUAAGCACAGAGGUUCCAGUCAUUAUCAUAUCUAUAUAUUGGUAGUAUGAAGCUGUAUGCAUAAUUUUGUUUCUCACGUUUCUAUUUUCUUAACAAAACAUGCCUUAUUGAGUAAAUUCAAGACAGGAUCCCAGUGUACCAUUUGCAUCUUAUGGUUUUAAUGGACAGGAAGAAUUUUGUGUGAUAUUGUGUCAAUCACCAGUACAAUAUGAGCCAUGCCAUAUCGCGAGGCAAAGAAUUCAAAAGAUUCUGCUCUGUGUAGCCUGCAUCUAGGCAAACAACCUUGCAUGCCCUAUAUUCAUUUAAACCAGCAACUACUAUACCCAAUCUUCCUUUUCCUUGUAAUUCAUGAUCAAAGGGCUGCUAUGGAGUGUGAUGAUCAAAUCAUUUGAAUUUCUACCUUCUUUAAUACUUCAUGGCGUCAAGAAAAUCAUGGCUUCCCAUGUCUAGAAUUACCUUUGCCUCUAUAAUUAGAAUAUUUUUGGAAACUUGAACCGGAUUUAGUAGUGAAUCAAAUCAUGGUAUAUAUAUAUGUACGCAUGAAUUUUGUGUGAAACUUUAUUCGCAAAUGAAUCAAAGGGAGCCUGAUUUCCGGCAUGAACAACAAAUGCAAGUGAUAAGACGAUGCCUCUAGCCGACGGAAUUGGAAAGACAAAAUGGAUAAGCAGCAAGCCAAAGAGGGGUUGUGCUCAGUUUCAAUCCUGCUACCCACGAAUUAUUAAAUUGAUGCCUUUUGGCUUGCUUUUUCUGUGCUCUUAUUUUGUGUACUACUGAUAUUGCGGCCUGUGCGUUAAUUACACGGAUUAUGCUGCUUUGCCAGAUGAAUUCCUGUGUAACGGAAAAUGAUUUGAUGGAAAAGAUAACAGUCCAAUAAUAGAAAUGUAGUAUUAUGUCAACAAUGAUAUUAAUAAUUCUGACACUGAAGCAUGAUUGUAAUAACUUAGUUGACUUUUUCCAUGACUCUUUCGUAAGAGAGAUCCGGAAGCUAAAUCACAAGAGAGAGAUUAAUAGACACAGUCCUUUAAUAUAACAUUUCGAUUCUGAAACGGAAAUUUAUGUAAGCUAUUUAAUUUAACUCAUUUCAGUAGACCUUAGUCCCAAUUAUUAUCAUUUACUUAAAACGACACUUCUAAAUUUUAAGGAACUUGAAAGAUCUAUCUAGCAUUCUGAUAUUGGAAUAGCUUAACCCAUAGUUUUAUGUUGUUCAAUGCAAUACCUUUCAAUGAAAUUUCUCAUGAGGAAAUUAGACACAGUACCCUAAAAAAAAGAAGAAUUAAUUAAUACACUUAAAUUAGAUUAAAGUUUUAAUAAACGUAUUAAUUACGUCAAUUGAAAAUGUAAAACAUAAAACAUUUGAAAGUAAACAAAAUCGUUUGAAUUGAAAACAUAAAACAUUUGAAAGUAAACAAAAUCAUUUGAGGGACAAACGGACGUACUCCAAAUCUGAUAUUUUUUAUUUCUUAAAAUUUUUAUUACUAAAUUUUUUUCGUUUGAUACAGGAUUUUACGCUACGAUUAUCCAUUCUUAGCGAUUCAAAAUCUAUUAGAAAGCUUGUAAUAAGAACAUGAUAAAUAUGUUAUGGAUAAAGUCUAAAUGUCAAAAAUUAUCUCGCAUGAAAUAUUGAACGUGAAAUAAACCAUAAUUAUUACGUCCAUUUCUUGUUGCCAUUUUUGACUUGUUAUUAUGAACUUGUCGUUUAUCGAUUUUGAAAUUAAAACAAUGCAUUUCAAAGUUUGUCAUAAAUACUUCGAAAUAAUAACAAAAACGUCACCUAACUAGUGAAGAAAUAUAUCCCAUAAAUAAGUUAAAAGAGGUAACGCCAAAACAGAAUUAAGUGAUAGAAUAUCACUUUUUUGGUGGUUGUCACUUUUUAUUUUCUGUCACCGUUUUGAAUUUGUCACUUUUUAUAAUUUUUAUCAACUUAUUUUCUGUCACCGUUUUGAAUUUGUCACUUUUUAUAAUUUUUAUCACUUUUUUGAAUGUUUGUCACUUUUUUUAAUUUGCGUCACUUUUUUUUUGAAUUCAUAGCUUUUUUUAAAUUUGUCACUUUUUUUUCAAUCACCUUAUUGAUUUCUAUCAUUUUUUUUUAGUGACAAAUAUCAUUUUUUAAUGUAUAUUAUUUUUUAAUAAAAAAGUGACAUUUAACUUUUAAAAGUAAUAUUGUGUCGUUUUUUAUUUUAUUAAAAGUGACAAUUUUUAUAAAAACGGUGACAUUGUGUCACUUUUUAAUAUCACACAGUAUUUUUUACUUCCAAAAAAAUUAUUCAUAUAAUUUUUCAAAAGACUUCUAAUUUUAAGGGUAUUUUUGUAAGUUACCCAUUUCUAAUUGGGCACGCCAAUCUCAUGAACGAUGCAGGGCUUCAAAACAUAUGGAAAAUCUAAUAUGUUAUGUGUCAUGAUAGAAAAAAUAUAGAGGAAAUUACACCCAAUAAGAACUUUUAAGAUUCAACUUCAAAAAUCAUAUUUAUGGUAUUUUUAUACAAAAAUCAGAUGAUAAUAUAUUAUUGUUAAUAUUUAUAAUAAUAUUAUGAAAAUUAAAUUAUUUUAUAUAUUCACCUACUACUAUUUACCUUCUCAAACCCUAAUAAAUUCACUCUUUCUUCUUUCUCUCUCUAUAUAGCCGCCUCCCUCCUCUCUUUCUCUCCUUUCUCUCUCUUCCCUCUUCCUCCACAUUGGCCAUCGUCCUAGCUAUCGCAGUCAAUGACCACGGCUCCAAACCCGCUGCACAGCAUGGACUCAUUGGGAAGUGUCGCUGACUGUAGCAAGAUCUGAGAGGCGUUGGCCACAACACGAUCUGAGUUUAGCUGUUGUUUUCAUCAUGGUGCCAUGGUGUCAAGUUCUGUGCCACUGAGAGUCGAGGAGAGUUGCAAGAUUUUGCCAGAAAUCAAGUGAAGGAGCUUGAGGAUGAGCUUUAUAUUGAGGUGAUGUGGUAUUUUCCUGAUGAGGUGGUCAUGGCUCUGGGAUGGUGGUGGAGAUGGAUGAAUUUGAUGUUUGUGUGGUGGAUCUCGACGGAUCUGGUGGUUUUGAGAGGUGGUGGUGUUUUCCUGGUGAGGUGGUCCUGGAUCUGGGAUGGUGGCGAAGUUGGGCGGAUUUGGUGUUUGUGUGGUGGAUCUUAAAGGAUCUGGUGUUUUGUGGUGGCAGUAAUUUGUUUGAGGUGUUGCGGUGGUGGCUGUGGUGGGGAAUCUUGGCGGAUUUGGUGUUUGUGUGGUGGCGGUGGUCGGGGUGGGAUGAGAUGGGAUUGAAUGCUUGUGACCAAUUAUUUGGUUGAUUAUAACUAAUAAUUGGAUAUGUGACAUGAAAAUUGUGACCGUGACUCCCGAUUGGGAUUCAUAAUUGACUAAGUUAUGAUUGAAAAAAUUAAUUGUGACCAAAUAAUCCAAUAAUUUGUAGUGAAUAAAUGAGUUGUGACCAAUAAAAGUUUUGAAUUUGGGAUUGACGAAUAAUUUGACCUAUAAAAUUGUCGGAUUCGUGAUCGAAAACUUUUCUGCGACAUAAAAUUUUCGAUUUGUGAUCAAAAAAUAAGUUGUGUUUAAUAAAAAUUUUGAUUUUGUGACUGAUGAAUGAAUUGUGACCUAUGGAAUUUUCGAUUUGUGACUUAGAAAUAAUUUGUAAACAAUUAAUUUGAUGAACUGUGACCAAAUUAUAUAUGUUUGUGACCUUAAUAUGUUUAAUUAAUAAAAUAUUUUUCCAAUCAAUUAUUUCAUAAGUAAAUUUUAAUAAUAUUUGAAUUUUGAAAUUGUAAACCUCUCUCUCUUAGUUUUGAAAUAGGCUAUAGAUAAACUCUUAGAAAUGAAAUUUUCCCAAAAAUAUAUGCAGAGGCAGGAAGUAUCUUGUUACUGCUAGGUGACGACAAAUGUUAAAUAAAAUUAACACUGAAAUAUGCAACUGGAACAAAGAACACAUCAAUGGGAACUGCAUAAAUCAUUGACAACUAGAUUUGCGAACCCAAAUAUUAACUUAACAUUACAGAAAGCUAAAACGGAAUUUUAAAAUAUAUUCCGCAAAGUUCACCUUGAGGGAGAGAGAUAUUUCAUAGCUGUCACCUUUAAUCAAUUCAACUCCAUCCUAGCGUGCUUGGGAGGAAAAACAGGUGGAGGAGGAGAAAGCUCUUCAUUCUCGGAUUUAAUUUUGACAAAGCCUUCUUCACUUCUGUUGGAACGAACCUUAGGCCUAUGACUUCCAGAAAACCCUAAUUUAUCGCAUGUCAACUGUGAGUGGUAGCAUCUUACAAAAAAGGUCGCGCUGGUAUGUACAGUAUGACAUCCCCAAUUUCCCUGGUAUAAUUACUUCAGGCAAUCUUAGCACUUCCAUUCUCUCGCAUUACACUAUAUGGAAGAUAUUGAUCCAUGCCAAAUUGCACGGUCUAAAAAGGGCACUAAAUUAAAUCAUCUUUAGUACCAUCUAGUGCCAAUAAAACUUUAAUUUCUUCGUUCCCACUUCCUUUAUGCCAUUCCAUUGAGGCAAUCUUGACCCAUCAAACCAAGCCUAUUGGACCUGGGACAUAUAUGUUGGAAUCUCUCCCAAACCCAAGCCUGCACCAUUUGGAAUGGGGCUGUAACCUUUACUUCAACAGAUUUCUUUUGUCCACGUCCAGUUUUGCAUUUUUCUGAAGCAUCAAGGGUGCCUUUAACUGUAGUCAAAUUUCUAUAAAUGUCAACAAGAACAGCAGGUGAAAGUGCAAGUUUUGUACCUUUAACUAAACUGACCACAAUGGGUAGAGCAACUUUGCUUAUAGUGUCGCGUCCAUAUGGAAAAACAAAAUGUGAUAGCUAGUAAGCAAGAAUCGCUUCGUGUAAUGGAAGUAAGGGAGGAGAAGAUGUGGAGAAGGAAAGAAAAGAAAAUUUAGUUAUUAUAAUCUUUCUCUCUUUUUCAUGUCAUUUAUCUAUACACCAUUAUGUACAAUGUACAUUACUCAUAUUUAUCAAAGAUAUCCUAAAUUUAUGUAUCUUUUUUCUCCCUUUGAUUUAUUUUUUCUUGCUUUAUAACCACAUUAUGUACUGGAAAAGUUUUACCAAACUUAGUCUUCCGCAUUUUCCUUUAGUUGAAAUGGAGUUGAAACAUUUGUUCCAUUGUCACUUUCUUUAUUGCAGUUUUUUGGUAUAGGCCUGUUUGAGCCCCAUUUAUUUCUUGUAAUGUAUUAUGGAAUUGUAAAUUGAUGGGAAAUUUAUGGUUGAAAAAGAAUGAACUUUUUUUGAUUUGCGUGUAAUAUUAUUUUAAUGAAGAAUAUGUGGUUGAAAAUGAGUACUGUAGAAAAACUAAUGGGAAAGAAGGGGAAAAUAUGGGGCUCAAACAGGGGCAUAGUCUUUCUUUGUUGUUACACAUAAAGAAAUCUAACAUUUUUGUUUUGAACAACUGCUUUCAGUGGGAAAUUUGCUGCCAUAUCAUUUACUGAUAUCCAUAUAUUUGUCGGAAGAAUCAGUUCGCCUAAUUUUGUUUUUCAUAAUUUUAUUUUCUUGACAAAACAGGCCCUAUUGAGUUUAUUCAAGACAGGAUACUAUGGUAUGGUCAAUAAUUAUUAUGUCGAUCACCGGUAAAGUAUUGAACCAAGCCAAAUUGCAUGGCAACAGAAUGCAAAAGAUUCUGCUCUGUGUAGUGUGCAUCUAGGCAAACAAACUUGCAGGCACUAUAUUCUUUCAAACCAGCCACGACUAUACCGUAUCUUCUUUUUCCUUUUAAUUCGUGAACAAAGGGCUGCUACGUAGUGUCAUCAACUCAUUUUUAAUUUUUUACUUUCUUUAGUUACUUCAUGUCAUCAAGCAAAUCUUGGCUCCCAUGUCUGAAUUAACCGUGCCUCUAUAAUUAGAAAAGUUUUUUAAACUGAACCUGAAUUACUAUUGAAUCAAUUAUGGUAUAUGCAUAGGCAUGCAUAAAUUGAUUGUGUGAAACUUUAUUCACGAAAUGAGUUACCUAAUGGGAACCUGAUUUCCAACAUAAACAACAAAUGCAAGUGAUAAGACGGUGCCUCUAGCCAACAGAAUUGGGUCAUGGCAACAUUUUCUUAUCAUCCAAAAAUGUUGGAAAGACAAAAUGUACAAGCAGUGAGUCAAAAAUGGGUUGUGCUUAGUUUCAUUCCCACUAUUCAAUGGCAGAUCCAAGAAUUUAGGUUCGAACAGGCGACCGCUAGAUGGUUGCUCGAGCGGCCAUCGAGCAACGGCCUAAUAUAAAUGUUUGGAUUAUGAUGCCAAAAUCCAAUUCAAUCAAUUGGCCUGUGAUGAAAAGGGCUUAGCCCAUUGCUGGUAUUAUAUUUCUAUUACCCGAUAAUUCAAAGGUAGAGGCCCAACUACCUGAGCCCAACAUGAGGCCACAUGUGCUACUCCGACCCAUUGGAUCACCUAGUUGAUCUAUAGUUAUGUUGUCUUCAAUAUAAGGGACCUUUUGGUGGUUGCCCUAGUGGACCGUGUGAUAUUUUCUGGUGACUCUUGAACUCUCUAGAAUCAAGUCUUUCUCUCUGCUUCUCUACUCCUUCGUCUUCUUCGUGAAUUUUCCCCAUGUUCUCUGUGAUUUGGAAAUCGAUUCUUUCUGUGUGAACAGUAAAUCUUAGUGAUCCUUUUUUUAAAGGAGUGAGUAAGUUCAGUUUAGGGGUUUUCCAUUUUGGCUCGUCGAAGUAGCUGCGUUCGGAUUCCUUUUGUGGGUUUAGGUGUGUUUUGGUGUUUUUACCAUUGUACAGAAGAGUACAAUGAUAAUUUCUGAGCCCAAACAUUGAUUGAACCUUGAAGUCGUUUUUUGUCCUGUUUCUUGGUCGAUUUUCUCUAUGUGAGAUCUGAAAAUACUUGGGUGUAUUUCUUGAGUUUUAUUAUAUCAAUAAAGAUUUUUUUUUUUGGCGAAGCUAGCAAGGGCAGCCAAAGGGCUCGUUGAGUGCUGACUCCACCCCUGCCACUAUCCAUGAAUUAUUCCAUCCAUGUUUUUGGGCUUUGUGCAUCAAUACUCUAGAGUUGAUUUCUCCCACAACUCUGUUUGUAAGAGAGCGCGAAGCUAAAUCACCAGAGACAGAAUCAUAGACAGGAUCAUUAUGUCCUCAAAUGUAACAUUUUGAUUAUGAAAAUUUUACACAAAUGCAAAAUUUUACAAAAUAAAAUAAAAAAUAAAAAUAAAAAUGGAAUUUAAGUUCACCUUGAGCUAGAUAUUUUUCAUAGCAGCUGUUACCUUCAAUCAGUUAUACUCCACCCAAGCAUGCUUUGGAGGAAAACCUGGUGGAGGAGGAGGAAGUGCUUCAUUUUUUGAUUGAAUCAUAAUAGACCCUUCUCAUGCAUCUGAACCAACAUUAGUACUACCACUUCUGGAAAACCCUAUUUUAUCAAACGAUGUCAAGUCUCGGGUGGUGCCAUCUCACUCAAAAAGUCGCUCUAGUAUAUUCAGUAUGGAAUCCCUAGUUGCCGUGGUAUACUGACUCCAAGAAUCUCAUAUCUUCCAUUCUCUCACAUUACACAACACGGAAGAUCUUGAUCCAUGCCAAAUUGCAUGUGCACACGAUGUGAGACAUAUUGCUCAAUGCAAUCAACUUCCAGGCCAACAAGUUUGCUUGGUCUCACAUCGCACAAGCUCCUCAAGUUCAUCAUCUGAACCAGAUUGAAUUAAUUCCCUGUAAUGUAUUUCCUUUUAAACCAUGUGAGGGAAGAAGUUAUUUGCAGCCCUCAUGUAAGGGCGCCAAAUAAAAUCUUCUUGAACGCCAUCUAGUUCCAAUAACAGCUUAAUUUUUACAUCCCCACUUCCCUUACGCCAUGUUAUUGAGCCAAUCUUUGCCCACCAAAUCCAGUUCGAAUUGGGCUUGGGACAUAUUGUUGGAAUCUCUCACAAACCAAAGCAUGCACCAGUUGGAAUAGGAAGAGUUAUAGGAGAAUAAAGGGAAUAAAACGAUGCAACAAACUUAAAUCUCUAUGUCUUCUUGUGCCUGUUUCAAUGAUCAACAUUAGAAUUUUCUAUAAAUGUCAGUAAGACAGCAGAUGCAAGUUUUGUACCUUUAGCUAAAUUGACUGCAGUGGGCAGAGCAACUUUGCUUGUUAUCCCACGUCAUAUGGAAAAACAAACUGUGAUAGCCAGUAAUCAAAGCUUCUCUUUGUUUAUAGUGUUGCAUCCAUAUUGGCUGUCAGAGUUUUAUGUUCCAUAUGGAUGUGACAAAAUGAACAAAGCUGCUCUUCUCGUUGCUGUCAGUUUAGCUAAAGGCACAAAACUUGCAUUGGCUCCAGCUAUUCUUGCUGACAUUUAUAGAAUUUUGGGUACAUUGAAACGAGCCCUUGUUACAUAUGAAAAAGGUAAAACUCGACAAGGAAAAAUGAAACUGUUGAAGCCAAGGUUACAACUCCUUUCCAACUGAUGCAAGCUUGGGUUUGGGAGAGAUUCCCUACAAUUGGUUCCACGACCAAUUUCAUUGGGUUUGGUGGGCCAAGAUUGGCUCAAUCAUAAAGGUAGUGGGAACGAAGAAACUGAAUUGUUAUUUGCACAAGAUGGCGCUAAAGAAGAUUUUAUUUGGCGCCCUUACACGAGGUCUGCAAACGACUUCUCACUCAAAUGGUUUACAAUGAAAAUUAUUAAUGGGAAUUACUUAAAUCUAGUUCAAGUGGUGAAUCUGAGGGGCUUGUGCGAUGUUUGAGACCUAGGGAUCUUGUUAUUCUAGAAGUUGACUGCAUUGAGCAAUAUCUCCCACAUCGUGUGGCCAUGCAAUUUGGCAUGGAUUAAGAUCUUCCAUAUCCUGUAAUGCAAGAGAAUGGAAGUUCUAAGAUUGCUUGGAGUAAUUACACCAAUGCAAAUGGGGAUGCCAUAUUGUAAAUACAAGACUUUUGAAUCAAAUGCCACCACCCGAUACUUGGCAUGGCUAUCAAUGGCAUGAUUCAAGAAAAACAAUGGGAAUGUUUCUUCCGUUAGACUCCUGUGAAACGAAACAGCAUCUCCGUUCCUGCUUCAGAGCAUAGUUCCCUGUGCAUAAAUUUUAGUUGAACGUUAUUUUUCCUUCAAAUCAUGCCAAAGAAACAAUUUCAAUUGUACGGUUAAUGGACCCAGGCUUGAAUCGUAAAGUUGAAAUCUCCAUCGAGAGCAUACCUAAACAAGUUGUGAAGGGUCAAAAGUUUAAUUCACAAAAUUUUUUAUUAGAGUAAUACUAUUUAGCACUUGUGUUAAAACACGUCUACAUGACGUUAAAGUUUCACUAAAUCAUAGGCCUAAUUAAAUGACCAUUUUUUCAGCAUUAAUUGGACCUAUCACUUAGUUUUACAUAGAAUGCUGGUACUAGACAACAUUAUUCUUUUAAUUAUCUUGUUGCAUCAAAAGUCGUUGCACAUUAUUUCAAACUAAUGUAUCUGAUGCAUCUAAUUUAUUCUUAACAAACAAGCUUUUAAGUUUUUAUUGUUAUUAACUAUUUUUAUAAUGAUUUAUUAGUUAGAAAUAAAAAGCUUGCCUUUAUUAUUAUUAUUAUUUAUUUAUUUAUUUAUUUAUUUUUGUCUCAGGAGUUUCUGGAAUUGUUCAUUAGUUAAAAAAGAAUAUAGAAAUCUACAUAUUUAUGUAGGCUUCUGAUUUUAAUAUUAGUUGAUGUCUUUUCUUGAUUCGAUUCAACAAAUUACUAAAAAAUUUGUAGGAGCCACAAUUACUACUGCUUGUUAUUCGACCAUUUCAUGAGAUCUAGAGCUUGUAAACAGUUAACAAGAGGGCGACAAGGGACAUGGUUCUGCCCUAACUCUUAUUUUUAUUAUAUUCUAAUUAUAUGUUAAUAAAUUUAAAUCAUAUUCAAAAAAUAAGAAUAUUUUAAUCUUCGCACAUUCCGUCGCUCUCCCUACAUCUUUUCUUUAAACUUUUGAUUCAUGCCCGGAGUUUUUAUCUUGGAUUUAAAUAUUUUAAUUAAUUUUUUUUCUUAAAUAUAAUUUUAUGAUGUUUCCAUUACAAAUAACUUUCACUUGUCAAUUCGAAAUAAAUAUCUUGAUUAAAUACAAGAAACAUGUGAUACCGCAACACAUUAAAAUAAAUAAAUGAACACUAUAUAUGUAAACAAUGGCAACAAUAAAAACAUUGAUAAAAAUUUUCCUAAAUUGACAAGAAACUCUGUGGAAUGUCACUAGAUAUCCAAACAGAAAAAUUUACUGGUCAAUCUAUAAAGAGAUUUUUACGGAUCUACCUCUAUUAUACCAAACAUUACAUGAAUAAAAUUUGGGAAAAAAAUAUAUAGAUAUAUGUAAAUUAGUAAUAGAACCUAAUAGAAAUUAACAUCAGAUUUACCAAUGGCGCAUUACUGAAGAAUUUUUUUUUUUAAAAAACAUAAGAAUUCAUUGAAUUAUAUAUCAUUGAUGUCGAAGAAGCAUUACCUUACACGGAGAUAGAGAGAAAUGAAAAAACUCCUAUAUAUAUUUUUUUCUUGUUCACUCGAUCGCUUACAACAAGCUAUUUCCAAUGUAUCAGCAUGCCUGAUUUUCCAUAUAAUGAUAGAUAUGAAAAAAAAAAAGUUGGCGGCGGGGUGAAAAGGAGAAAAAAAAGAAUUAGGUUUUGAGGUGGAUCUGAAUAUGUGAAAUAUCUCACUUUUUAUAGACUAGCGUAAGACACAUGGCACAACACUCUUUUUGACUUUCGAAAGUUCUAGAAUGACUACUCUCUCUUUUUGAAAUAUUUAAUUAAUAAUAUACUUACAAGGAAUGUGAGCUACUGUCAAAUCUAACAUGAUUAUUCAAAUUAGUAGGCAUAGACACGAAGAGUAAUUAGCACGAAUCUGAAACCACAUGGUGAAUUAUCAGAUUUCAAAAACUAUGAGAGGAUAAUUAUUAAUAAUUGUUAAUUGCAAAGAGGAAACUUGCAAUUGACCCUUACCAGAAAUUGUUAUCACCUUAAACGAUUCUCGACAUCACAUCAUAUACUACAUAGAGAAACCUUAUUAUCUACCAAUUAAUUAUCGUAUCAACAUUAAAAAAUGACAUCACAGAAAAAUCUUUAAUUUGCUUACAAGGAUGGAUCUUUUAUACUAAUCGAGGUAUAAGAGGAUUUGUAAUGGAAAUACUAUGAAGUAAAUGUAAUGACUUCGUUAAUUAGCUUUAGAUGUCCCUGUGCUAAUAUUCUAAUAAUUGGAAUCUCUUUUUGAUUGAAAUUACAAUAUGAUAUUUUGGAUAUCUAUUAAAUUAUUAUUGAAUUAUCUAAUAUAAAAGUAUGUACGUAAAACUUGAAAUUUGCAUAUAUCCACACUCGAAUUUUAUCCCCAUGUAGUUAGAAUUUUCUUAAAUUCGAAUUUUAUGAUAAGUUUAUUUGUUGAAAGAUCAAUCUAAAUCUGAAUUAAAAGUCCUGUUAAAAUUCUAACUUGUUAGCUAUUCUUAUCUAAUCACACCUAUAAAUACCCUCUUGUUGUUGUGGUUUAAUUCACACAAACUCGGAGAUAAAGAAUAGAGAGAGAGAGGAAAAAAAGAAAGGAAAGAAAGAGAGAGAAAAGAAUGAAAGGGAAGGAAAAGAAAAACAAUUGGUAUGUUCAAGAUUUGUUCGCAAGAAUUUUCAGUCAUAAGUAGCUCAAUACAAAAGAAAUUUAACGAAUAUGGUAUUGAUUUUUUUAAAUGCCAAGUGAUUUUAUGUUUUUACUUUUUAAUGUUUGAAGUUAAGUUUUUUAUGUGCUAUUAUGUUAUCCAAAUUAAAUAAGGAUCUUGCGAAUAAUACUAUAGGGUAUUAUGUAGAUCUAUACAGAAACCAACCAUAUGGCUAAAUGCCCUAAAUCGAGAUUGAGAAUGGAUAUGACCUCAGUGAGAAUGACUUGAUCAGGUUUUCAUUCCACUGGAAUAUUAUGUUAUGUACGUAUUUUACCUGCUAUUUUAUAGGGACCUUGUGCUAAUAUUCUAAGGCAAAGAAUUCAAAAGAUUCUGCUCUGUGGAGCUUGCAUCUAGGCAAACAAACUUGCAGACCCUAUAUUCAUUUAAACCGGCGACCACUACACCGAAUCUUCCUUUUCCUUGUAAUUCACGAUCAAUGGGCUGCUAUGGAGUGUCAGGAUAAAAUCAUUUUAAUUUCUACCUUCUUUAAUUACUUCAUGUCGUCAAGAAAAUCAUGGCUUCCCAUGUCUAGAAGUAGCUUUGCCUCAUCAUUAGAAUAUUUUUGAAAAUUUGAACCUGAUUUAGUAAUGAAUCAAAUCAUGUCAAGUAUAUAGGUACACAUGAUUUUGUGUGAAACUUUAUUCGCAAAUGAAUUAACAAAGGGAUCCUGAUUUCCAGCAUGAACAACAAAUGCAAGUGAUAAGACGAUGCCUCUAGCCAACGGGAUUGGGAAGACAAAAUGGAUAAGCGGCAAGCCAAAAAGGGGUUGUGCUCAAUUUCAAUCCUGCUAAACACGAACUAUUAAAUCGAUGCCUUUUGGCUUGCUUCUUGUGUGUGCUUUAUUUCGUGUACUACUGAUAAUACGGCUUGUGUCAUAAUAACAUAAAUUAUGCUAUUUUGCCAAAUGAAUGGUGACAGAUUCGUGUGUAACGGAAAAUGAUUUGAUGGAAAAGAUAACUGUGUUUUAAACAGUCCAAUAUUAGAGAUGUGAAGAUAUGUCAACUAUUAUGUCAAUAAUUCUGGCACUGUAGCAUAAUUGUAAUAACUUAGUUGACUUCUUCCAUGACCCUUUUGUAAGAGAGAUUAGGAACCCAAGUCACAAGAGAGAGAAUAAUAGACACGGUCUUCAUGUCCUUUAAUAUAAAUUUUUGAUUAUGAAAAUGUUUACGGAAAUCUAUGUAAGCUAUUUAAUUUAACUCAUUUCAGUAGACCUUAAGUUCCAAUUAUUAUGAUUUAAUUAAAACAACACUUCUAAAUUUAAAGGAACCUAAAAGAUCUCUCUAGCAUUCUGAUAUCGGAAUAGCUUAACACCUUAACCCGUAGUUUAUGUUGUUCAAUGCAAUACCUUUAAAUGAAAUUUCUAAUUGGGCACACCAGUCUCAUGAAUGAUGUAGGGCUUCAAAACAUAUGGAAAAUCUAAUUUGUUAUGUGACAUAAUAGAAAAAAUAGAUGCAGAGGCAGGAAGUAUCUUGUUAGUGCUAGGUGACGGCAAAUAAUGUGAAAUAAAAUUAAUACUGAAAUAUACAACUGGAUGUCCAAACAGAGAACACAUCAAUGGGAACUGCAUAAAUGAUUGACAACUGGAUUUGCAAUCCAAACAUUAAACAUCACAGAAUGCUAAAAAUGAAUUUAAAAAUAUAUUCCGCAAAGUUCACCUUGAGGGAGAGAGAUUUUUCAUAGCAGCUGUCACCUUUAAUCAAUUCAACUCCACCCUAGCAUGCUUGGGAGGAAAACCAGGUGGAGGAGGAGAAAUUUCUUCAUCUUCAGAUUUAAUUUUGACAAAGCCUUCUUCACUUUUGUUGGAACAACCUUAGGCCUACGGCUUCUGAAAAACCCAAAUUUAUCCCACUAUGUCAAGCGUGACUGGUAGCAUCUUACUCAAAAAGUCAUGCUAGUAUGUACAAUAUGACAUUCCCAAUUUCCCUGAUAUAAUUAUCUCAAUCAAUCUUAGCACAUCCAUUCUUUCGCAUUACACUAUAUGGAAGAUAUUGAUCCAUGCCAAAUUGUAUGGUCUAACAAGGGCGCUAAAUUAAAUCUUCUUUAGAACCGUCUAGUGCCAAUAAAAGUUUAAUUUCUUCGUUCCCACUACCUUUGUGCCAUUCCAUUGAGGCAAUCUUGAUCCACCAAGCUUAAUUCAAUUGGGCUUGGGACAUAUAUGUUGGAAUCUCUCCCAAACCCAAGCCCGCACUAGUUGGAAUGGGGCUGUAACCUUUACUACAACAGAUUUCUUUUGUCCUAGUCCAGUUUUACAUUUUUCUGAAGUACCAAGGGUGCCUUUUACUGUAGUCAAAUUUCUAUAAUUGUCAUCAAGAACAGCAGGUGAAAGUGCAAGUUUGUUACCUUUAGCUGAACUGACGAGUAGAGCAGCUUUGCUUAUAGUAUCACGUCCAUAUGGAAAAACAAACUAUGAUAGCCAGAAAGCAAGAACUGCUUCGUGUAAAAGGGAGGAGGAGAUGUGGAGAAGGAAAGAAAAGAAAAUUUGGUUAUUAUAAUCUUUCUCCCUCUUCCAUGUCAUUUAUCUGGUUAUUAUAAUCUUUCUCCCUCUUCCAUGUCAUUUAUCUGUACAACAUUUGUAAAGACUUAGGGUUUAGUCUUAAAAGGUCAACCUUGGAAAGAGGAGUAGCACAAGACCUUAUACAUUGGUCUAUGUUUUUCAUCUUUAAUCGAUGUGAGAUUUUAUCCCUUAACAUGCCCUCGUAAGAUGGUGGCUUGUUUGAGCAAACCAAUCUUAAAAUUCAUAUACUCAUUUAUUGAGUCUUAAUCAGAUCGAAUCCUUUGUUGGAGCUUAAUGAGCUCUAAUACCAUGUGAAGACUUGGGAUUCCACCUUAAAAGGUCAACCUUGUUAAGACGAGAAGCACAAACCUUUAUAAAUUGGUCUACGUUUUCAUCUUUAUUGGAUGUGAGAUUUUAUCCUUUAACACCAUUAUGUACACGGUAAUGUACAAAUAACAUUACUCAUAUUUAUCAAAUAUAGUCUAAAUAUAUGUAUCUGUUUUCUCCCUUCGAUAUUUUUUCUUGCUUUAUAACCACAUUAUGUAUUGGAAAAGUUCUACCAAACUUUGUCUUACCCAUUUUCUGUUAGUUGAAAUGGAGUUGAACGUAUGUUCCAGUGUCACUUUCUUUAUCUUUUUUUUUUUUUUUUUUUUUUUUUUUUUGGGGAUUGAAUUAAGUAUAAUAAGUUAUGUAAUUUAUUUAAAUGAAAGAAAAAUUAGCUUAAGUGAUUAAAGAAACUUUAUAAAUCGCUUAAACGUGAAAGAAUUAAGUUUUGGUAUCGCCUAUUUAAUUAUUGAAAUUACUUAAAAAAAUUAAUUGUUAACCUAAAAAUUAUAUCGUACUUCAGGCGGCGAUACAGACAUUGAGACAACUUACCAACCGAGUUGAUUUUGCGUACAUAGUUUUGUGAGUGAAAAAACUUAUAUAUUUUUAAAAAAUCAAUAUAGUAAUUAUACUAUUACAUGAUGUGCAAUUAUGUGAAUUUCUUAUACGAUUUCAUGAUUAUUAUGAAAUGUUCUUUCAUUAUGAUACAUAUGAAAUCAUUAAGGUUGUACAUGGAUUACUUAUGAACUAGAAUGUGACACGUGAUAUUGAGAUCAAUCAAAAAAGUAUUCCUGAUUAUAUACUUCUUCUAGUUCAAAGAGGGGUCUUGGCGAUACACGGAUUACUUAUGAACUGGAAUUUGACAUAUGAUAUUGAGAUCGACCAGAAAAGUACCAGUGAUUAUAUACUUCUUCUAGUUCACAAGGUGCCUCGACAGUAUUCUAUCCUACGCUGAGGGGUCUUGACCGGACAUUGGUCUUAACCGUGUACAUGUAGUUUACAGAAGGGCAUUGGCUGUGUUCUAGAAUUGAUUAUCAGAGGUCUUGAGACUGACUUUCGUUCACGGAGGAGGCCAAAGGCUCGUGGCUAAUGUUCUUGGCCCGAGGGGCGAUUUACAAAAUUCAAUCAAAGGGUACAUUUUUUGGUGAAUUUUUCGGUACAUUUGAUGUGAUGAGAUAAUAGUAUGAUUACCAACUUAUGUAAAUAUCAUAACUUGAGUUGAUGUAAAACUUGAGUUGAUAUUUUACAACGUUAUCUGAAUGUCUCACUUUUUGAAUAUAAUCAUAUGAUAUUAUCUUGUGAAUUAUUAAAUCGUAUUGUAGGGCCAAAUUCCAGCAAUUACCAAGGUAAAUCGGGCUCAGUUUUGCCAAAUAUAUCGACACCACCACCGGUUGAGACAACGCCCAAAACCACCGCCUAUAUUCCCCACUUUCGAUUGCUACAAUAUACUUACAAAAAGUUGGCCAAGAUGAAGAACUAUAUUAUGUCCACAAGAAACCACAAAGGUUAUAUGAAGAGGAGAGGCCGAGAAUCAAAGUCACAGAGAGAGGUGGAUUAUUCUUCAUAGUGGAGGUGAAGAGAGGCCGAGAAUAUAAGCCAAAUGAGUGACCAAACAUGGUAAGUUAGGUUCGGUUAAUUUAGUAGACCAAACAAGGCUCAACUCAAAAUAAUGGGUUCCAAAUUAAUACCAUAGCCCUCCAAGAAAGUGGGACGAACCAUGAGCAACACUAUUAAAAAUAGGUUGCUUCUAAUGGUCCAUAGGGAUGUGGGUUGGGUCGUCUCGAUAAUAGUAUCGACAUAUAAAUCAAUAAUAUGGCCAUGGCCGAUUGAUAAUAGAUAAAACCGAGGUUACAUCAUUGUCCGGGGAGUUAUUGGGUAUCAAAAUCCAACAAUCUCCACCUUCAUGCCCAAUAACCAACAAGCAAUAAAAAACACACAGUUUAUACUUGCAAAAUCAAGGUAAUCUAAUAAAAUUGGGCUCACAGACCUUACUUCGUGUUUCCAACCUGAAACACACACCAUACCUGCUCCAUAUACUCACCAGGGCUAAGGUCAAGAACACUCAGGUAGAAACAAGUACUUACAGUGAUCAACUAAUCAUAUGAUAAAGAUAUUAUAUAGGAUACCUCACACAGAUCUUUCAAAUUCGUACACACAGAACCAUCGAUUAAGACAAAGUUAAUUAGCACACGGUCAAACACAUAUGCAACACAUGCAUAAAUGACCUCACGAAAGAUCUCACUACAUCUAUCCUAUCCCAUUUCGUGUUACUCUCACCUCGAGAACACAUAUCUCCUCUCAUCGCCCACCAUGCUCACUAAAUAGAUCUCACAACUCAUGUCAAACUGGCAAGUCACAACAGAUCCUAAGUUUUAGGGAUAAUCCUUUAUCACCACAUCACUUCUCCCAACCAAUGUGGAUAAUGGGACUCCACCUUACAGAAGUGAUAGAAGUGCCUCUCUCGCACUCCACCUGUACAGGAUCUCUUUCAUAGAUAAAUGAUUCUACACAUUUGAUCACAUCUCCACUCGUGAUCCAAAUGUCACACCCUACAUCCCUCGGUACAAAAACAUCAUGUACCCCUAUGCAUCUAUACUCCACCUUACCAAAAGACAUCUAACACACUGCUAAUGCAUCCUAACCCACUAUGCAUGCAAACAAUCACACCAAGUAAUCACAUUACCCCAAAUUCAUGCAAACACACAUAUCAAACAAAUUAAAAUGCAAAAUAUAGUCAUGCAAAAAAUUAUGCAAUCACACACAUGCUAAAGGAUGACACACAGAUGCAUAUGCAGUGACUAGGUUUACUCUCUCAAUAAUUUUCACCGGGGUCAUAACUCGACCCCUCAACCACAUUCGUCUCACCUCUCACAUAACCCUUCUGCUUAUCCUUCUUCUUGGGACAAUCCCUAAUAAAGUGUCCAGACUUACCACAACUAUAACACCGCCUACCAUACUUGUCCCGUCUCUUGCCCUCCAUCUUACCACCUUCAUCACUUGAGUCACUACUCGAAUCACCACUAUUUUGAGCUCUACCUAAAUUCAUUUGCUUAAAUUUCAUCCUACUCUUUAUCAUGUGUGUCUCACCACUCCUCUUAUCUUCAUUUUCAGCCUUCAUUUCCAUCUCCUUACUCCUAAGUGAGUCUAUGACAAUCUCGGGAGUCAAUGUAUCCUACCAUACUUAAUAGUAUUUUUAACUUCCUUAUAUGACUCAAACAUAGAAUUAAGUAAGAUUAUAGCCUUGUAGGUUUCAGAUACAGUUUCUUCACAGUUAACAAUAUCUUGGACAAGUUUAUUGAAAACAUCUAAAUUGUCAUCAAGAUCCUUUGAAAGAUCCAUUUUAAAACUGAAGAAACGCUCAAGAAGAUAAAGUUUAUUGGGAGUGGAUUUAAGCAAAUAUAGAUCUUCCAACUUUUUCCAAAGAUCUUUUGUGGUUUUCAGUUUUCCUACUUUUCUCAAAACAACGUCAGACAAAUGUAAAAUGAUUGAGGUAUAAGAAAACUCAUCGGCUUCUUCUUUUUGUUCUUUUGAAAAAUUAGCCUGAAAAUUGCCUCCAAUGACUUUUGAAACCUUUUGUUGGACCAAACUACCUUUCAUUUUUUGUUGCCAGAUUGAAAAAUCACCUUUUCCAUUGAAAAUACCAACUUCGAAAUGUGAAGACAUUUUAAAAAAAAGAAGCAAUCAAUUGGACAAAUAGAUCACACAAAGUAAUCCUACGAUCGCAAUAUACACCGUUCUAGAUUUUCAGGGAUUCGUAAGACUCGUGGUCUUAGAUCAAGGGAACGUUCGAACGGGUAAGGUCUAGGUAUUCUAAUGGAAGUAACGACACAGCAAAAUUUACGAUGCAACAAAAUAGAUAUAUCCAAUCAAACGAAAUUUCAUGAAAAUUUUAGCACAAAGCACAAUAUGCUAAUUUAUCCAAAGAUAAGUACUCAAUCACAAAAGAGCAAGUAAUCCUAAUUUCUAGCACAAGCAAUGGUUGCCAAGCAAUGACAACCCCCAACCUAUUGUCACCUCACACGGUGACGCACUAAUACUAAAAUUAACGGGUUAAGCCAAUUUACCAGAGCGGACGUGUCUGAGUCCGUAUAAUCGAGAGAGAUGCGAAUCUACUGCUUUAGGGUCGGGAUUUUGGCCUAAAGUAAUUCAGUAGAUAUAUGGCAAUUUCAACCGUCGAUUCACAGGGGCAAAAUUGUUCAAAUUUUUCUGUGUAACCUGAAAAAGAAAAUGAAUAGUGUCAGUGAGUUCAGGGGAUUGAAAUGAGCAAACUGUCCGAAGGAAGUUCGUUAGAAAAAGCAGCCACGCGCCCUACUAGAAGGAGCGCCUUUACGUGCUGGUUUCUGGUGUGGGGUUAGCUUCGCCGGAAAGUUUCUAGUUUGGCCGAAAUUCGCGAUUGCAGUUUCGGCUCCACUAUGAAAAAUGUGAACCUGCCGUCGUUUUUGGUGGAUUUCUGGCUGGAGAUGGUGACCUUGGCUCUGAUACCAGUUGUAGGGCUAAAUUCCAGCAAUUACCAAGGUAAACUGGGCUCAGUUUCGCCAAAUAUAUCGACACCACCACCGGUUGAGACAACGCCCAAAACCAUCGCCUAUAUUCCCCACUUCCGGUUGCUACAAUAUACUCACAAAGAGUUGGCCAAGAUGAAGAACUAUAUUAUGUCCACAAGAAACCACGAAGGUUAUAUGAAGAGGAGAGGCCGAGAAUCAAAGUCAUAGAGAGGUGGAUUAUUCUUCAUAGUGGAGACGAAGAGAGGCCGAGAAUAUAAGCCAAAUGAGUGACCAAACAUGAUAAGUUAUGUUAGGUUAAUUUAGUGGACCAAACAAGGCUCAACUCAAAAUAAUGGGCUCCAAAUUAAUACCAUAGCCCUCCAAGAAAGUGGGACGAACCAUGAGCAACACUAUUACAAAAUAGAUUGCUUCUAAUGGUCCAUAGGGAUGUGGGUUGGGUUGUCUCGAUAAUAGUGUCGACAUGUAAAUCAAUCAUAUGACCAAGGUCGAUUGAUAAUAGAUAAAACCAAGGUUACUUCAUUGCCCGGAGAGUUAUUGGGUAUCAAAACCCAACAGGUAUGAGCUUGAUUUUCGAUAAAAAUUUGUAAAUAAAAAGUAUAUUUAUUUCGAACUUCUCCAAUCACUGAGCUAUCAAUUCAUAUAUGUUUCCACUUUUUUUCUUAUCAGGCAACAAUUGAGUAUCUGUAUAUCUUUUGAAGUUGAGGCUUACUAUGUAUUUUGUAUCUAUAUGUACAUUUCAUGUUAUGUUCUUAGUAAAAGUUGAGAUUUCAGCUUAUCUUUAUUGUAUUGUGUUAUAGUUUGGGAUUUGUGUGUAAUUGAUCACCAGUUGGUUAGUCUUGUUUACAGGAGAGAUAAUGCCGAAAUUCUGUUAAAAAAAUUAUUUAUAAAAAGUGGCAUAUUGUACUUGUAGUAGCUUUGAUGGUGGGUCCGACUUCUAGUUGGUAUCUAUCAUCGACGCACAUCUCAUUCCGGGUCCAAUAGCGUUACAUGAGGUGGGGUGUGUCAUUGUCUUAUUCAAGUGAUAAGAAGCCUCUAGCCAACGGAAUUGGGUCGUGGCAACAUUUUCUUGUCAUCCAAAAACGUUGGAAAGACAAAAUCGAUAAGCAGUGAGUCAAAAAUUGGUUGUGCUUAGUUUUACUCCCACUAUUCAGUGGCAGAUCAAGGAAUUUAGGUACGCACAGGCGACCGCUAGACGGUCGCUUGAGCAGCCAUGAGUAACGGCCCAACAUAAGGAAAAUUUUUGGCAAAGCCAGCAUGACGGCCGAAGGGGCUCGUCGAGUGUUGGCCCCAACCCUUUCACCAUCCAUGAAUUAUUUCAUCCAUGUUUUUGGGCUCUGUGUGUCAAUAAUUUGGAGUUGACUUCUCCCAUGACUCUAUUUGUAAGAGAGCGCAAAGCUAAAUCACGAGAGACAGAAUAAUAAACAGGAUCAUCAUGUCCUCAAAUGUAAUAUUUUGAUUAUGAAAACCUAAUUGGAUUGUAAGAUUUUCAUUUCAUUAGACCUCAUUUCCCAACUAUAUUAAUAUAAUUGAAACAACACUUCUAAAAUUAAGGGAACUGAAAGAUAUAUCUAGUUUUCUCAAAUUGAAAAAGCUUAAUUUUCAGUUUUAUGUUGUUCAAUACAAUACAUUUCAACGAAAUUUUGUAAUUGGGUAUCAGCAGGUCUUCAAAAUAGAUGGAAAAUUAUGUAUCAUAAUCAGGGUUGGCCCAGAGGUUUUUGGAGCCUUAUUGUUGAUUAGAUCUUGUACAGCAUUAUCAGUUACUAAAUAAUGUUUUAAUCUCCUUUCCAAUUCAAUCCAUCUUCUCAUGUUAGGCAUGUAUUCAUUACUAGCUUCAUUAUUUCAAGUUUAAAAAUAAGGUUUUUUCAAUUCUUCAUUUUUUCAUUAGCUAAUUGAUUAUUGAUUCAAUCUUGCUUUAACAACUUGCUACAAAAGCAAUAUAAUUUAUCCAAUGAAAUUGAGUAGAACAACCAUUUCUAUCACUCUUCUCAUCAGUUGAUAAAUACUGAAAGUAAUAUGUAGAAAAUAGAUGCCAAUUUUCUAAAUCCUUAGGAAAAGUAAAAACAUUCUCCCUUAAGGGAACUCUUUUCAUUAACAAUUUUAUCAAGAUUUGAUAAAUAUUUUUUAAAUUUCCUGGAUUACUAAUGUCUAAAUGUGAAGGGUACGCAUUUUAAAUUAGUCUCUUCGUAUUGUUCAUUUCUAUUUUCUUCAUCCUCCCAAAUUUUUCUAGCACAGGAUUCAAUAAAAUUUCAUGCUUUCUAUUUAUAUUAUCUUCAUUUUGAACCUUCUUAUAUUGAAACUCUUCAUCAACUAAAUAUUUAAUUGAACUUUCCCCGACUUUGCCAGGUUAAUAUAUAUAUAUAUAUAUAUAUAUAUAUAUAUAUAUAUAUUUUGAACCUUCUUAUAUUCAAACUCUUCAUCAACUAAAUAUUUAGUUGAAUUUUCCCCGACUUUGCCAGGUUAAUAUAUAUUUUUUUUUUUUUAAAAAGAAGAUAUUUUAACAAGUUUUUAAACUGAAAAAAGUGGAAGAAGAACAAAACCAGUAUCUGUAGUUGUUACCGACGGCGCUUGAUGCAUAUCGUUGAGCCUUCUGGCCUAAAGAAUGACUAAAAGAGAGAAAUUAUUUCUUUGCUGCACUGAUCCCAAGAAAUAGGAAGAGGAAUAUGAGAAUAAAGGGAAUAAAAUGAUGCAAUGAGCUUAAAUCUCGAUGUCUUCUUGUGCCUAUUUCAAUGCUCAACAUAAUGAGAAGACACGAAAAAUCUUAUUUAUGAGAACUCAUAUUACCAAAAAGAAAGUGAUACAAUUUUUGUCUCAAUGCUUGUUGAACAAUCAAAUAAACUUUAAAUACUUCUAUGAAAUAAAUAGUGACUAAUCUAUGUUACAUUUUAAUUAAACAUUAGUAUGUUUGCUAAUUUGAUACUUGAGUUGGCUUAGUUAAUUGCAUUUCGACUUUAUUUUGCUUGUAAUUCUUUAUAAAAUAUAUAGUAACUUUUUGGGGCCCUCAUAAAGGCAGGGCCUUAGGCGAUCUCCCUGUCUAUAGUCAGGAUAGGGCUGACACUAAUCAUAAUAGAAUAAUUCUAUGCAUACGCUGGAAGUAUCUUGUUACUGCUAGGCAAAGACAAUAAUGUGAAACAAAAUUAAACUGACAGAUGCAACUGGAUGCCCAAACAGUGAACACAUAAAUGGAUAAAGCAUAAAUAAUUGAUAAUAGAUUUGCAAACCCAAAGAUUAUCUUAACACAAAUGCAAAUCUUUUCUCAAGAAAAAAAAAGAAAAAAGAAAAAUAAGGAAUUUAAAAAAUAUUCUACGAAGUUCACCUUGAGCUAGAUAUUUUUCAUAGCAGCGGUCACCUUCAAUCAGUUAUACCCCACCCUAGCGUGCUUUGGAGGAAACGUGGUGGAGGAGGAAGUCCUUCAUCUUUUGAUUGAAUUAUAAUAGACCAUUCUUCUCUUGUAUCUAAACCAACAUUAGUACUACCACUUCUGGAAAACCCCAAUUUAUCACACCAUGUCACGUCUCGGGUGGUGCCAUCUGACUCAAAAAGUUGCGCCAGUAUAUUCAGUAUGGAAUCCCUAGUUGCCAUGGUAUACUGACUCCAAGAAUCUCAUAUCUUCCAUUCUCUUGCGUUACACAACAUGGAAGAUCUUGAUCCAUGCCAAAUUGCAUCUGCACACUAUGGGAGACAUAUUGCUCAAUGCAAUCAACUUCCGGGCUAACAAGUUCGCUUGGUCUCAGACAUCGCACAAGCUCCUCAAGUUCAUCAUCUGAACCAGAUUGAAUUAUUUCCCAGUAAUAUAUUUCUUUUUAAACAAUGUGAGGGAAGAAGUAAUUUGCAGCUCUCAUGUAAGGGCGACAAAUAAAAUUUUCUUGAAUGCCAUCUAGUUCCAAUAACAGUUUAAUUUCUUCAUUCCCACUUCCAUUACACCAUGUCAUUGAGCCAAUCUUUGCCCACCAUCCAAUUCGAAUUUGGCUUGGGACAUAUUGUUGGAAUAUCUCCCAAACCAAAGUGUACACCCGUUGGAAUAGGAAGGGGAAUAGGAGAAUAAAGGAAACAAAAUGAGGCAACGAACUUAAAUCUCUAUAUCUUCUUGUGCCUGUUUUAAUGCUCAAGAUUAGAAUUCUCUAUAAAUGUCAGUAAAAACAGCAGAUGCAAGUUUUGUGCCUUUAGCUAAAUUGACUGCAAUAGGCAGAGCAGCUUUGCUUAUAGUGCCACGUCCACAUGGAAAAACCAACUGUGGUUGCCAGUAAUCAAAUCUUCUCUUUGCUUAUAGUGUUGCAUCCAUAUUGGUCGUUAGAGUUUUCUGUUCCAUAUGGAUGUGACAAAAUGAACAAAGCUGCUCUUCCCGUUGCUGUAAGUUUAUCUGAAAGCACAAAACUUGCACUGGCUCCAGCUAUUAUUGCUGACAUUUAUAGAAUUUUGAGUACAUUGAAAGGCGCCCUUGUUACUUAUGAAAAAUGUAAAAUGCGACUAGGAAAAAAGAAAGCUGUUGAAGCUAAGGUUACAACUCCAUUCCAACUGGCGCAAGCUUAGGUUUGGGAGAGAUUCCCUACAAUAGGUUCCAUGACCAUUUUGAUUGGGUUUGGCGGGCCAAGAUUGGCUCAAUGGCAUAUCAUAACAGUAGUGGGAACGAAGAAACUGAAGUGUUAUUUGCACAAGAUGGCGCUAAAGAAGAUUUUAUUGGCGGCCUUACACGAGUUCUGCAAAUGACUUCUUACUCAAAUGGUUUACAAGGAAAAUUAUUAUUGGGAAUUACUUAAAUCUAGUUCGAGAGAUGAAUUUGAGGGGCUUGUGUGAUGUUUGAGACCUAGGGAGCUUGUUAGUAUAGAAGUUGACUGCAUUGAGCAAUAUCUCCCACAUCGUGUGGCCCUGCAAUUGGCAUGGAUUAAGAUCUUCCAGGUCCUGUACUGUGAGAGAAUUACAAUGGGAAUGAUUCAAGAAAAACAAUGGGAAUGUUUCUUCUGUUAGACUCCUGCGAAACGAAGAAGCAUCUCCGUUCCUGCCUCAGAGCAUAGUUUCCUGUGCAUAAAUUUUAGUUAAACGAUACUUUUCCUUCAAAUCAUGACAAAGAAACAAUCUCAAUUGUAAGGUUAAUGGACCGUAAAAUUGUAAAAGGUUGAAAUAGUUCCCUCAGAGCAUAGUUCCCUGUGCAUGAAUCAUAAGGUUGAAAUCUCUAUCGAGAACAUACCUAAACGAGUUGUAAAAGGUUAGAAGGUCCCGAAACCAUGGCUGCUUUGAGGUCCUCAAGAGCCUUCUAGGCUUGUAGAUUCCAAUGAAAAGCUUUCUUUUUAAGCAUUUGAGGCAAUGGUUGAGCUCUCUCUCCGUGCCCCUUGAUGAACUUCCUGUAGUAACCCGUUCCCUCAGUCCCUUUAAGGUAGUAGAUUUAGGCCAUGAAACCAUGGAGGAUUUUAUUUUAUUUUAUUUUAUUUUUUUGUGUGUGUGUGUGUGUCUACAGACUAUAGAUACUCCAUAAGAAAUGACAUGACCCAAAUAAUUGACUUCUUUUUACCUAAAUUGACACUUCUUUCUUGACAAAAAAAUCAUGAGUCCAUAAUUGGUGCAGGACCUGGUUUACGUGAUCUAGAUGUUCCUCACAUGUGUGACUAUAAAAAUGGAUAUCAUCAAAAAAGACAAAAACAAAUUUUUUGAGAUAAACUUUAAAUACCUCAUUCACAGCUGAUUGAAAUAUAGCGGGAGCAUUCAUAAGGCCAAAUUGCACGACUUGAAAUUCAUAAUGGCCUUGGUGGGUGUGGAAUGCAGUCUUCUCCACGAAUGUGGUAACCCAAUCUCAAAUCUAACUUUGAAAAAAAUUUGGCCCCAUAUAAUUCUCCCAAUAAUUCAUCUAUUACGGAUAUAUGAAAUUUAUCCUAGAUUGUAAUGUCAUUCAAAGCUCGGUAAUCAAUACAAAGUCUCCACGAACCAGCAUGCUUUUCAUAAGGUUGAAAUCUCUAUCGAGAACAUACCUAAACGAGUUGUAAAAGGUUAGAAGGUUAAUUCACAAAUUUUUUAUUAGAGUAAUACUAUUUAGCACCUGUGUUAAAACAUGCCUACGUGACGUUAAAUUUCACUAAAUCAUAUGCCUAAUUAAAUGACCAUGUUUUAUGCAUUAAUAGGACCUAUCGCUUAGUGUUAUAUAGAAUGCCGGUACUAGAUGACAUUAUUCUUUUACUUAUCUUGUAGCAUCAAAAGUCGUCGUGAAUUAUCUUAAACUAAUGGAACUCAAAUUAACGUAUCUGAUGCAUCUAAUUUAUUCUUGACAAACAAGCUUUUAAGUUUUUAUUGUUAUUAAAUAUUUUUAUAAUGAUUUAUUAGUUAUAAAUAAAAAGUUUGCCUUUAAUUUUUUUCUUCAAGAGUUUCUGGAAUUGUUCAUUAGUUAGAAAAAGAAUAUAUAAAUCUACUUUUUUAUGUAGGCUUUUGAUUUAAAUAUUAGCCGAUAUCUUUUCUUAAUUCGAUUCAACAAAUUACUAAAAAUUUGUAGGAGUCACAAUAACUACUACUUAUUAUUCAACCAUUUCAUGGGAUCUAGAGCUUAUAAACAGUUAAAAGAAUUACCAAAUAUCAAACAUAAAUAAUUCGGACAGGUUGGAUUAUCCAAUUAGUGGGAGAAAAAAGAGGGCGACAAGGGACAGGGUUCUGGCCUAACUCUUAUUUUUAUUAUAAUCUAAUUAUAUGUUAAUAAAUUUAAGGGCAUUUCGGUAGUGAUUAUGAUAAUUGAUUUUUUGACUAUUGGAAAGGAAAGUGUGUCCCAUUUGUGAGUGAAGAAGUCAAAAAUAAUAGCUGAAACAGUCCCCAAAAAGAAAAAUUAGGUUGAAAAAUUGUUACCAGGGCUAAAUCAUAUUCGAAAAAUAGUAAUAUUUUAAUCUUCCCACAUUCCAUCGCCCUCCCUACAUCAUUUCUUUAAACUUUUGAUUCAUUCCGGGAGUUUUUAUCUUUGAUUUAAAUCUUUUCAUUUUUUUCUUAAAUAUAAUUUUAUGAUGUUUCCACUACAAAUAACUUUCCCUUGUCAAUUUAAAAUAAAUAUCUUGAUUAAAUACAAGAAACAUGUGAUACGGCAACACACUAAAAUAAAUAAAUGAACAUUAUAUAUGUAAACAAUGGCAACAAUAAAAACAAUGAUAAAAAUUUCCCUAAAUUGACAAGAAACUCUGUGGAAUGUCGCUAGAUAUUCAAACAGAAAAAUUUACUGGUCAUUCUAUAAAGAGAUUUUUACAGAUCUACCUCUAUUAUGUCAAACAUUUCAUGAAUAACAUUUGGGGAAAAAAAAAUCUAGAUAUAUGUAAAUUAGUAACAGAACCUAAUAGAAAUUAACAUCAGAUUUACCAAUGGUGUUUUUAUGAAGAUUUUUUUCAAAAAACAUAAGAAUCGAUUGAAUUAUAUAUCAUUGAUAUUGAAGAAGCAUUACCUUACACGAAGAUAGAGAGAAAUGAAAAAACUCGUAUACAUAUUUUUUGCUGUUCACUCGAUCACUUACAAGAAGCCUAUUUCCAAUGUAUCAACAUGCCUGAUUUUCCAUAUAAUGAUAGAUAUGAAAAAAAAAAAAAAAAAGGUUGGCGGCGGGGUGAAAAGGAGAAAAAGAAAUUAGGUUUUGAGGCGACUCUGAAUAAGUGAAAUACUUUUUAUAGUCUAGCAUAAGACACAUGACGCAACACUCCUUUUGACUUUUGAAAGUUCUAGAAUGACUACUCUCUCAUUUUGAAAUAUUUAAUUAAUAAUAUACUUACAAAGAAUGUGAGCUACUCUCAAAUCUAACAUGAUUAUUCGAAUUAGUAGGCAUAGACACGAAGAGUAAUUAGCACGAAUCUGAAACCACAUGGUGAAUUAUCAGAUUUCAAAAACUAUGAGAGGAUAAUUAUUAAUAAUUGUUAAUUGCAAAGAGGAAACUUGCAAUUCUCGACAUCACAUCAUAUACUACAUAGAGAAACCUUAUUAUCUACCAAUUAAUUAUAGUAUCAAAACUAAAAAAUGACAUCACAGAAAAAUCUUUAAUUUGCUUACAAGGAUGGAUCCUUUAUACUAAUCGAGGUAUAAGAGGAUUUGUAUUGGAAAUACUAUGGAGCAAAUGUAAUGACUUCGUUGAUUAGCUUCAGAUGUCCCUGUGCUAAUAUUCUAAUAAUUGGAAUCUCUUUUUGAAUGAAAUUACAAUAUGAUAUUUUGGAUAUCUAUUAAAUUAUUAUUGAAUUAUCUAAUAUAAAAGUAUGUACGUAAAACUUGAAAUUUGCAUAUAUCCACACUUGAAUUUUAUCCCCAUGUAGUUAGAAUUUUCUUAAAUUCGAAUUUUAUGAUAAGUUUAUUUGUCGAAAGAUCAAUCUAAAUCUGAAUUAAAAGUCGUAUUAAAAUUCUAACUUGUUAACUAUUCUUAUCUAAUCACACAUAUAAAUACCUUCUUGUUGUAGUGCUUUAAUUCACACAAAUUCAGAGAUAAAGAAUAGAGAGAGAGAGAGGAAAAAAAGAAAGGGAAGAAAGAGAGAGAAAAGAAUGAAAGGGAAGGAAAAGAAAAAGAAAAAUUGGUAUAUUCAAGAUCUGUUCGCAAGAAUUUUCAGUAAUAAGUGGCUCAAUACACAAGAACACGAAUAUGGUAUUGAUUUUUUUAAAUGCCAAGUGGUUUUAUGUUUUUACUUUUUAAUGUUUGAAGUUAAGUAUUUUAUGUGCUAUUAUGUGAUCCAAAUUAAAUAAGGAUCUUGUGGAUAAUACUAUAGGGUAUUAUGUAGAUCUAUACACAAACCAACAUAUGGCUAAAUUCCCGAAGUCGAGAUUGAGAAUGGAUAUGACUUAAGUGAGAAUGACUUGGUCAGGUUUCCAUCCCACUAAAAAAAUAUGUUAUGUGCGUAUUUUACUUGCCAUUUUAUAGGGACCUUGUGCUAAUAUUCUAAGGCAAAAAAUUCAAAAGAUUCUGCUCUAUGUAGCUUGCAUCUAGGCAAACAAACUUGCACACCCUAUAUUCAUUUAAACCGAUGACCACUACACCGAAUCUUCUUUUUCCUUGUAAUUCAUGAUCAAUGGACUGCUAUGGAGUGUCAUGAUCAAAUCAUUUUAAUUUUUACCUUCUUUAAUUACCUCAUGUCAUCAAGAAAAUCAUGGCUUCCCAUGUCUAGAAUUAGCUUUGCCUCUAUCAUUAGAAUAUUUGAACCCGAUUUAGUAAUGAAUCAAAUCAUGCUAUGUAUAUAGUCACGCAUGAUUUUGUGUGAAACUUUAUUUGCAAAUGAAUUAACAAAGGGAACCUGAUUUCCAGCAUGAACAACGAAUGCAAGUGAUAAGACGAUGCCUCUAGCCAACGGGAUUGGGAAGACAAAAUGGAUAAGCGGCGAGCCAAAAAGGGUUGUGCUCAAUUUCAAUCCCGCUACACACGAACUAUUAAAUCGAUGCCUUUUGGCUUGCUUUUUUGUGUGCUUUAUUUUGUGUACUACUGAUAAUACGGCCCGUGUGAUAAUAACAUAAAUUAUGCUCUUUGCCAAAUGAAUGGUGACAGAUUCGUGUGUAACGAAAAAUAAUUUUGGAAAAGAUAACUGUGUUUUAAAUAGUUCAAUAAUAGAGAUGUGAAGAUAUGUCAACUAUUAUGUCAAUAAUUCUGGCACUGUAGCAUAAUUGUAAUAACCUAAUUAACUUCUUCCAUGACUCUUUUGUAAGAGAGAUUAGGAAGCCAAAUCACAAGAGAGAGAGAGAGAGAGAGAGAGAGAGAGAGAGAGAGAAUAAUAGACACGGUCUUCAUGUCCUUUAACAUAAAAUUUCGAUUAUGAAAAUGUUUACGGAAAUCUAUGUAAACUAUUUAGUUUAACUCAUUUCAGUAGACCUUAAGUUCCAAUUAUUAUCAUUUAAUUAAAACUACACUUCUAAAUUUGAAGGAACCUGAAAGAUCUCUCUAGCAUUCUGAUAUCUGAAUAGCUUAACGCCUUAACCCGUAGUUUUAUGUUGUUCAAUGCAAUACCUUUAAAUGAAAUUUCUAAUUGGGCACGCCAGUCUCAUGAGUGAUGCAGGGCUUCAAAACAUAUGGAAAAUCUAAUUUGUUAUGUGUCAUAAUAGAAAAAAUAUAUGCAGAGGCAUUAAGUAUCUUGUUAGUGCUUGGUGAUGGCAAAUAAUGUGAAAUCAAAUUAACACUGAAAUGUACAACUGGAUGUCCAAACAGAGAACACAUCAAUGGGAACUGCAUAAAUGAUUGACAACUGGAUUUGCAAUUCAAAUAUUAAACAUUACAAAACGCUAAAAAUGUAUUUUAAAAUAUAUUCCGCAAAGUUCAUCUUGAGGGAGAGAGAUUUUUCAUAGCAGUUGUCACCUUUAAUCAAUUCAACUCCACCCUAGCAUGGUUGGGAGGAAAACCAGGUGGACAAGGAGAAAGUUCUUCAUCCCCGGAUUUAAUUUUGACAAAGCCUUCUUCACUUCCGUUGGAACCAACCUUAGGCCUACGGCUUCUGGAAAACCCAAAUUUAUCCCAUCAUGUCAAGCGUGAGUGGUAGCAUCUUACUCAAAAAGUUGCCCUGGUAUGUACAAUAUGACAUUCCCAAUUUCCCUGGUAUAAUUACCUCAAGCAAUCUUAGCACUUCCAUUCUCUCUCAUUACACUAUAUGGAAGAUAUUGAUCCAUGCCAAAUUGCAUGGUCUAACAAGGGUGCUAAAUUAAAUCUUCUUUAGUACCAUCUAGUGCCAAUAAAACUUUAAUUUCUUCGUUCCCACUUCCUUUACGCCAUUCCAUUGAAGCAAUCUUGACCCACCAAGCCAAGGCCAUUGGGCUUGGGACAUAUAUGUUGGGAUCUCUCCCAAACCCAAGCCUGCACCAUUUGGAAUGGGGCUGUAACCUUUACUUCAACAGAUUUCUUUUGUCUUCGUCCAGUUUUACAUUUUUCUGAAGUAUUAAGCGUGCCUUUAACUGUAGUCAAAUUUCUAUAAAUGUCAACAAGAACAGCAGGUGAAAGUGCAAGUUUUUGUACCUUUAACUAAAGUGACCACAAUGGGUAGAGCAGCUUUGCUUAUAGUGUCGCGUCCAUAUGGAAAAACAAAAUGUGAUAGCCAGUAAGCAAGAAUUGCUUCGUGUAAUGGAAGUAAGGGAGGAGGAGAUGUGGAGAAGGAAAGAAAAGAAAAUUUAGUAUUAUAAUCUUUCUCUCUUUUCCAUGUCAUUUAUCUAUACACCAUUAUGUACAAUGUACAAAUAACAUUACUCAUAUGUAUCAAAGAUAUCCUAAAUUUAUGUAUCUUUUUUCUCCCUUUGAUUUUUUUUUCUUUGCUUUAUAACCACAUUAUGUAUUGGAAAAGUUUUACCAAACUUAGUCUUCCGCAUUUUCCUUUAGUUGAAAUGGAGUUGAAACAUUUGUUCCAUUGUCACUUUCUUUAUUGCAGUUUUUUGGUAUAGGCCUGUUUGAGCCCCAUUUAUUUCUUGUAAUGUAAUAUGGAAUUGUAAAUUGAUGGAAAUUAAUGGUUGAAAAAGAAUGAAUUUUUUUUAUUUGCGUAUAAUAUUAUUUUAAUGAAGAAUAUGUGGUUGAAAAUGAGUACUGCAGAAUAACUAAUGGGAAAGAGGGGGAAAUAUGGGGCUCAAACAGGGGCAUAGUCUUUCUUUGUUGUUACACAUAAAGAAAUCUAACAUUUUUGUUUUGAACAACUGCUUUCAGUGGGAAAUUUACUGCCAUAUCAUUUACUGAUAUCCAUAUAUUUGUCGGAAGAAUCAGUUCGCCUAAUUUUGUUUUUCAUAAUUUUAUUUUCUUGACAAAACGGGCCCUAUUGAGUUUAUUCAAGACGGGAUACUAUGGUAUGGUCAAUAAUUAUUAUGUCGAUCACCGGUAAAAUAUUGAACCAAGCCAAAUUGCAUGGCAACAGAAUGCAAAAGAUUCUGCUCUGCGUAGUGUGCAUGUAGGCAAACAAUCUUGGAGACACUAUAUUCUUUCAAACCAGCCACGAUUAGACCGUAUCUUCUUUUUCCUUUUAAUUGAUGAACAACUUUUAAUUCAUGAACAAAGGGCUGCUACGGAGUGUCAUCAACUCAUUUUUAACUUUUUACUUUCUUUAGUUACUUCAUGUCAUCAAGCAAAUCUUGUCUCCCAUGUCUAGAAUUAACUGUGCCUCUGUAAUUAGAGAAGUUUUUGAAACUGAACCUGAAUUACUAUUGAAUCAAUUAUGGUAUAUAUGCAUAGGCAUGCAUAAAUUGAUUGUGUGAAACUUUAUUCACGAAAUGAGUUACCUAAUGGGAACCUGAUUUCCAACAUAAACAACAAAUGCAAGUGAUAAGACUGUGCCUCUAGCCAACAUAAUUGGGUCAUGGCAACAUUUUCAUAUCAUCCAAAAAUGUUGGACAGACAAAAUGUACAAGCAGUGAGUCAAAAAUGGGUUGUGCUUAGUUUCAUUCCCACUAUUGAAUGGCAGAUCCAAGAAUUUAGGUGCGAACAGGCGACCGCUAGAUGGUUGCUCGAGCGGCCAUCGAGCAACGGCCUAAUAUAAAGAAAAUUUUUCUUGGCGAAGCUAGCUCGUUCCACUAUCCAUGAAUUAUUCCUUCCAUGUUUUUGGGCUCUGUGCAUCAAUAAUUUAUAGUUGAUUUCUCCCACAACUCUGUUUGUAAGAUAGCGUAAAGCUAAAUCACCAGAGACAGAGUAGUAGACAGGAUCAUUAUGUCCUCAAAUGUAACAUUUUGAUUAUGAAAAUCUAAAUGUAUCAUGUAAAAUUUUUAAUUUUAGUCAUUUCAUUAGAUCUCAUUUCACAACUAUAUUAAUAUAAUUACAACAAAACUUCUAAAGUUAAGUAACUUGAAAAAUAUAUCUACCUUUCUCAAAUUGAAAGAGCUUAAUCCUCAGUUUUAUGUUGUUCAACAUGAUACAUUUCAAUGAAAUUUUGUAAUUGGGUAUCAGCAGUCUUCAAAAUGGAUGGAAAGUUAUGUAUCAUAAUUAGGGCCAGCUCGGAGAUUUUUGGGCCUUAUGCCAACUUCAAAUAUAGGACACUUAUAAAUAUUAGAUAAAAAUAUUCAAAUUUAAAAUAAUAAUAAUCUAAAACUUUCAAAUAUCUAAAUCAAAUGUACUCUCUGUUUUUAUAGGGGGGAAAAAUCAAUAUGUCAUAGAACUUUUUUCAAUAAACACCACAAUGUCAUCCAUUCAACCUUUAUUGUGACAUUGUUCAUUGAGCGUGGGACUUUUUCAACUAAAAAUAGAAAUAUGCUCACAAAAACUUCUCUCCAGUUUUGAUAAAUAGUUUUUUAAUUUCCUGGAUUAAUUUCUAAAUGCGAAGGGUACACAUUUUAAAUUAGUCUCUUCAUAUUGCUCGUUUCUAUUUUCUUCAUCCUCCAUUUUUUUUUUGCUCGGGAUUCAAUAAAUUUUCAUGCUUUAUAUUUAUAUUAUCUUUUUUUGAACCUUCUAGUUUUCAAAUUCUUCAUCAACGAAAUAUUUAAUUGAACUUUCCCUGACUUGAUGUAUGGUUGAGGCUUCUGGCCAUAAGAAUGACUAAAAGAGAGAAACUUUUUUCUUUGCUGCAAAUGAGCCCAAAAUAUAGGAAGAGGUACAGGACAAUAAGGGAGUAAACUUAUGCAACGAACUUAAAUCUCUAUGUCUUCUUGUGCCCAUUUUAAUGCUCAACAUAAUGAGAAGACACCAAAAAUCUUCUUUUUGAAAACUUGUAUUACCAAAAAGAAAAGUGCUACAAUUUUUUUCUCAAUGCUUGUUGAACAAUCAAAUAAACUUUAAAAACUUCUAUGAAAUAAAGAGUAACAAAGAGUGACUAAUCUAAUGUUACAUUUUAACUAAACAUUAGUAUGUUUGCCAAUUUGACAGUUGAGUUGGCUUUGUUAAUUGCACUUUGACUUUAUUUUACUUGUAAUUCUUUAUAAAAUAUAUAGUAAUUUUUUGGGGUCCUCACCAAAGCAGGGCCUAAGUUAUCGCCCCAUCUAUAGUCAGGAUAGGGCUGGCACUGUUCAUAGUAGAAGAAUUAUAUGCAUACGCUGGUAGUAUCUUGUUACUGCUAGGCAAGGACAAUAAUGUGAAAUAAAAUUAACACUGUUAUAUACAACUGGAUGCCCAAACAGUGAACACAAAUAGAUACAACAUAAAUCAUUGAUAACUAGAUUUGCAAAACCGAAGAUUAUCUUAACACAAAUGCAAAAUUUUACAAAAUAAAAUAAAAAAAUAAAAAUAAAAAUGGAAUUUAAGUUCGCCUUGAGCUAGAUAUUUUUCAUAGCAGCUGUCACCUUCAAUCAGUUAUACUCCUCCCAAGCAUGCUUUGGAGGAAAACCCGGUGGCGGGGGAGGAAGUUCAUUUUUUGAUUGAAUCAUAAUAGACCCUUCUUCUCAUACAUCUGAACCAACAUUAGUACUACCAUUUCUGGAAAACCCUAUUUUAUCAAACCAUGUCAAAUCUCGGGUGGUGCCAUAUCACUCAAAAAGUCGCUCUAGUUUAUUCAGUAUGGAAUCCCUAGUUGCCGUGGUAUACUGACUCCAAGAAUCUCAUAUCUUCCAUUCUCUCGCGUUACACAACAUGGAAGAUCUUGAUCCAUGCCAAAUUGCAUGUGCACACAAUGUGAGACAUAUUGCUCAAUGCAAUCAACUUCCAGGCUAACAAGUUCGCUUGGUCUCAGACAUCGCACAAGCUCCUCAAGUUCAUCAUCUGAACCAGAUUGAAUUAAUUCCCAGUAAUAUAUUUCCUUUUAAACAAUGUGAGGGAAGAAGUUAUUCGCAGCCCUCAUGUAAGGGCGCCGAAUAAAAUCUUCUUGAACGCCAUCUAGUUCCAAUAACACCUUAAUUUUUUCAUCCCCACUUCCAGUACACCAUGUCAUUGAGCCAAUCUUUGCCUACCAAAUCCAAUUCGAAUUGGGCUUGGGACAUAUUGUUGGAAUGUCUCCCAAACCAAAUCGUGCACCAGUUGGAAUAGGAAGAGGUUUAGGAGAAUAAAGGGAAUAAAACGAUGCAACGAACUUAAAUCUCUAUGUCUUCUUGUGCCUGUUUCAACGGUCAACAUUAGAAUUUUCUAUAAAUGUCAGUAAGAACAGCAGAUGCAAGUUUUGUACCUUUAGCUAAAUUGACUGCAGUGGGCAGAGCAACUUUUCUUAUUACGCCACGUCCAUAUGGAAAAACAAACUGUGAUAGCCAGUAAUCAAAGCUUCUCUUUGCUUAUAGUGUUGCAUCCACAUUGGUUGUCAGAGUUUUCUGUUCCAUAUGGAUGUGACAAAAUGAACAAAGCUGCUCUUCUCGUUGCUGUCAGUUUAGCCAAAGGCACAAAACUUGCAUUGGCUCCAGCUAUUCUUGUUGACAUUUAUAGAAUUUUGAGUACAUUGAAAGGCGCCCUUUUUACUUAUGAAAAAUGUAAAACUCGACAAGGAAAAAUGAAAGCUGUUGAAGCCAAGGUUACAACUCCUUUCCAACUGAUGCAAGCUUGGGUUUGGGAGAGAUUCCCUACAAUAGGUUCCACGACCAAUUUCAUUGGGUUUGGUGGGCCAAGAUUGGCUCAAUGGCAUAUCAUAAAGGUAGUGAAGAAACUGAAGUGUUAUUUGGACAAGAUGGCGCUAAAGAAGAUUUUAUUUGGCAUCCUUACACGAGGUCUGCAAACGACUUCUUACUCAAAUGGUUUACAACGAAAAUUAUUAAUGGGAAUUACUUAAAUCUAGUUCAAGUGGUGAAUUUGAGGGGCUUGUGCGAUGUUUGAGACCUUGGGAGCUUGUUAGUCUAGGAGUUGACUGCAUUGAGCAAUAUCUCCCACAUCGUGUGGCCACGCAAUUUGGCAUGGAUUAAGAUCUUCCAUGUCCUGUAAUGCGAGAGAAUGGAAGUUCUAAGAUUGCUAGGAGUAAUUACACCAAUGCAAAUGGGGAUGCCAUAUUGUAAAUACCAGAAUUUUUGAAUCAAAUGCCACCACCCGAUACUUGGCAUGACUAUCAAUCGCAUGAUUCAAGAAAAACAAUGGGAAUGUUUCUUCUGUUAAACUCCUGUGAAACGAAACAUCAUCUCCGUUUUUGCCUCAGAGCACAGUUCCCUGUGCAUAAAUUUUAGUUCAACGAUAUUUUUCCUUCAAAUCAUGCCAAAGGAACAAUUUCAAUUGUAUAGUUAAUGGACCCAGGCUUGAAUGCUAAGGUUGAAAUCUCUAUCGAGAGCAUACCUAAACAAGUUGUGAAGGGUCAAAAGUUUAAUUCACAAAUUUUUAUUAGAGUAAUACUAUUUAGCACCUGUGUUAAAACACGUCUACGUGACGUUAAAGUUUCACUAAAUAAUAGGCCUAAUUAAAUGACCAUGUUUUCAGCAUUAAUUGGACCUAUCACUUAGUGUCACAUAGAAUGCUGGUACUAGACAAUAUUAUUCUUUUAAUUAUCUUGUUGCAUCAAAAGUUGUUGCAAAUUAUUUCAAACUAAUGUAUCUUAUGCAUCUAAUUUAUUCUUAACAAACAAACUUUUAAGUUUUUAUUGUUAUUAACUAUUUUUAUAAUGAUUUAUUAGAUAUAAAUAAAAAGCUUGCCCUUAAAUUUUUUUUUUUCUUACGGAGUUUCUGGAAUUGUUCAAUAGUUAAAAAAGAAUAUAGAAAUCUACCUUUUUAUGUAGGCUUCUGAUUUUAAUAUUAGUUGAUAUCUUUUCACAAUUACUACUACUUAUUAUUCGACCAUUUCAUGAGAUCUAGAGCUUAUAAACAGUUAACAAGAGGGCGACAAGGGACAUCGUUCUGCCCUAACUCUUAUUUUUAUUAUAUUUUAAUUAUAUGUUAACAAAAUUUAAAUCAUAUUCGAAAAAUAAGAAUAUUUUAAUCUUCGCACAUUCCGUCGCCCUCCCUACAUCUUUUCUUUAAACUUUUGAUUCAUGCCGGGAGUUUUUAUCUUUGAUUUAAAUAUUUUAAUUAAUUUUUUUUCUUAAAUAUAAUUUUAUGAUGUUUCCACUACAAAUAACUUUCACUUGUCAAUUCAAAAUAAAUAUCUUGAUUAAAUACAAGAAACAUGUGACACCGCAACACAUUAAAAUAAAUAAAUGAACACUAUAUAUGUAAACAAUGGCAACAAUAAAAACAUUGAUAAAAAAAUUUCCUAAAUUGACGAGAAACUCUGUGGAAUGUCACUAGAUAUCCAAACAGAAAAAUUUACUGGUCAAUCUAUAAAGAGAUUUUUACAGAUCUACCUCUAUUAUAUCAAACAUUACAUGAAUAAAAUUUGGGAAAAAAAUAUAUAGAUAUAUGUAAAUUAGUAAUAAAACCUAACAGAAAUUAACAUCAGAUUUACCAAUGGUGCUUUACUGAAGAUUUUUUUUUUUUUUUUAAAACAUAAGAAUUCAUUGAAUUAUAUAUCAUUGAUGUAGAAGAAGCAUUACCUUACACGGAGAUAGAGAGAAAUGAAAAAACUCCUAUAUAUUUUUUUUUCUUGUUCACUCGAUCGCUUACAACAAGCUAUUUCCAAUGUAUCAACAUGCCUGAUUUUCCAUAUAAUGAUAGAUAUGAAAAAAAAAGUUGGCGGCGGGGUGAAAAGGAGAAAAAAGAAUUAGGUUUUGAGGCGAAUCUGAAUAAGUGAAAUAGCUCACUUUUUAUAGACUAGCGUAAGACACAUGGCACAACACUCUUUUUGACUUUCGAAAGUUCUAGAAUGACUACUCUCUCAUUUUGAAAUAUUUAAUUAAUAAUAUACUUACGAAGAAUGUGAGCUACUGUCAAAUCUAACAUGAUUAUUCGAAUUAGUAGGCAUAGACACGAAGAGUAAUUAGCACAACUCUGAAACCACAUGGUGAAUUAUCAGAUUUCAAAGACCAUGAGAGGAUAAUUAUUAAUAAUUGUUAAUUGCACAGAGGAAACUUGCAAUUGACCCUUUACCAGAAAUUGUUAUCAACUUAAAGGAUUCUCGACAUCACAUCAUCUACUACAUAGAGAAACCUUGUUAUCUACCAAUUAAUUAUUGUAUCAACACUAAAAAAUGACUUCACAGAAAAAUCUUUAAUUUGCUUACAAGGAUGGAUCUUUUAUACUAAUCAAGGUAUAAGAGGAUUGUAAUGGAAAUACUACGGAGCAAAUGUAAUGACUUCGUUAAUUAUCUUUAGAUGUCACUGUGCUAAUAGUCUAAUAAUUGGAAUCUCUUUUUGAAUGAAAUUACAAUAUAAUAUUUUGGAUAUCUAUUAAACUAUUAUUGAAUCAUCUGAUAUAAAAGUAUGUACGUAAAACUUGAAAUUUGCAUAUAUCCACACUCGAAUUUUAUCCCCAUGUAGUUAGAAUUUUCUUAAAUUCGAAUUUCAUGAUGAGCUUAUUUGUCGAAAGAUCAAUCUAAAUCUUAAUUAAAAGUCCUAUUAAAAUUCUAACUCGUUAACUAUUCUUAUCUAAUCACACCUAUAAAUACCCUCUUGUUGUUGUGUUUUAAUUCACACAAAUUCAGAGAUAAAGAAUAGAGAGAGAGGAAAAAAAGAAAGGGAAGAAAGAGCUUGAAAAGAAUGAAAGGGAAGGAAAAGAAAAAAAAAUUGGUAUGUUCAAGAUCUGUUCGCAAGAAUUUUCAGUCAUAAUUAGCUCAAUACACAAGAAAUUAACGAAUAUGGUAUUGAUUUUUUUAAAUGCCAAGUGAUUUUAUGUUUUUACUUUUUAAUUUUUGAAGUUAAGUAUUUUAUGUGCUAUUAUGUGAUCCAAAUUAAAUAAGGAUCUUGUGGAUAAUGAUAUAGGGUAUUAUGUAGAUCCAUACAAAAACCAGCCAUAUGGCUAAAUGCCCUAAAUCGAGAUUGAGAAUGGAUAUGACCUCAGUGAGAAUGACUCGAUCAGGUUUCCAUUUCACUAGAAAAUUAUGUUAUGUACGUAUUUUACGUGCUAUUUUAUAGGGACCUUGUGCUAAUAUUCUAAGUCAAAGAAUUCAAAAGAUUCUACUCUGUGUAGCCUGCAUCUAGGCAAACAAACUUGUAGACCCUAUAUUCAUUUAAAUCGGCGACCACUACACCGAAUCUACCUUUUCCUUGUAAUUCACGAUCAAUGGGCUGCUAUGGAGUGUCAUGAUCAAAUCAUUUUAAUUUCUACCUUCUUUAAUUACUUCAGGUCGUCAAGAAAAUCAUGGCUUCCCAUGUCUAGAAUUAGCUUUGCCUCGUCAUUAGAAUAUUUUUGAAAAUUUGAACCCGAUUUAGUAAUGAAUCAAAUCAUGGUAUGUAUAUAGGUACGCAUGAUUUUGUGUGAAACUUUAUUCGUAAAUGAAUUAACAAAGGGAUCCUGAUUUCCAGCAUGAACAACGAAUGCAAGUGAUAAGAUGAUGCCUCUAGCCAACGGCAUUGGGAAGACAAAAUGGAUAAGCAGCAAGCCAGAAAGGGGUUGUGCUCAAUUUCAAUCCUGCUACACACGAACUAUUAAAUCAAUGCCUUUUAGCUUGCUUUUUUUGUGUGCUUUGUUUUGUGUACUACUGAUAAUACGGCCUGUGUGAUAAUAACAUAAAUUAUGCUCUUUGCCAAAUGAAUGGUGACAGAUUCAUGUGUAACAGAAAAUAAUUUUGGAAAAGAUAAUUGUGUUUUAAACAGUCCAAUAAUAGAGAUGUGAAGAUAUGUCAACUAUUAUGUUAAUAAUUCUGGCAUUGUAGUAUAAUUGUAAUAACUUAGUUAACUUCUUCCAUGACUCUUUUGCAAGAGAGAUGAGGAAGCCAAAUCACAAGAGAGAGAAUAAUAGACACGGUCUUCAUGUCCUUUAAUAUAAAAUUUCGAUUAUGAAAAUGUUUACGGAAAUCUAUGUAAGCUAUUUAGUUUAACUCAUUUCAGUAGACCUUAAGUUCCAAUUAUUAUCAUUUAAUUAAAACUACACUUCUAAAUUUGAAGGAACCUGAAAGAUCUCUCUAGCAUUCUGAUAUCGGAAUAGCUUAAUGCCUUAACCCGUAGUUUUAUGUUGUUCAAUGCAAUAACUUUAAAUGAAAUUUCUAAUUGGGCACGCCAGUCUCAUGAAUGAUGCAGGGCUUCAAAACAUAUAGAGAAUCUAAUUUGUUAUGUGUCAUAAUAGAAAAAAUAUAUGCAGAGGCAGGAAGUAUCUUGUUACUGCUAGGUGAUGGCAAAUAAUGUGAAAUCAAAUUAACACUGAAAUGUACAACUGGAUGUCCAAACAGAGAACACAUCAAUGGGAACUGCAUAAAUGAUUGACAACUGGAUUUGCAAUCCAAAUAUUAAACAUUACAGAACGCUAAAAAUGAAUUUUAAAAUAUAUUUCGCAAAGUUCACCUUGAGGGAGAGAGAUUUUUCAUAGCAGCUGUCACCUUUAAUCAGUUCAACUCCACCCUAGCAUGCUUGGGAGGAAAACCAGGUGGAGGAGGAGAAUUCCAUUGAGGCAAUCUUGAUCCACCAAGCUUAAUUCAAUUGGGCUUGGGACAUAUAUGUUGGAAUCUCUCCCAAACCCAAGCCCGCACUAGUUGGAAUGGGGCUGUAACCUGUACUUCAACAGAUUUCUUUUGUCCUAGUCCAGUUUUAAAUUUUUUUGAACUACCCCCUUCUUUACUUAGAACACUUUAUGCAUAAAACUCUCAUGGUUAUUUAUUUCCCACGAAUAAGUACCUAUAUGGUGUCUGGCAUUAGCAUUGGCAUUAACUUCAUAUUCUUUAUCCUCUACAAAAAUUAUCUUAAAAGGCAAAGGCGAAGAGCUCGUGGAAUUGUACCUUUGUUUGGAUACCAUGGUCAUAUACUACCAAUUUUGAUGCCGCUACUUAAAAGGAAAAUAUGUUAUAAAUUAAGGUUUAUACUAUGUCUUAAGAAUCAAAUUUUAGUCCAAGCAUUCCUUUAUUCAAAAAGAUCAAUAAAAUUAGAACAAAUAUAGUUAGUGAUUAUCUAAAUUCAAAUUCUUUUCUUGUUUAAUUAUAGACAAUUUAGAUCGUGUAAAGAAGUAAUAACAUGUCAUUUUAUUAACAAAGAGCGGUAUUGAACUCUAUAAUUGAAACCGUGAUAUGAACAUUUUACUCGAAUUCGAGAAGCUUUAUGAAAUGAUUUAAUUUCCCCAUUUUUUAUAGACAUUUUAGUGAAAGAUCUUUCAUACUCUUUGAGAUCCAUUAUAGGUUACCAGAGCCAAAAUGGUUAUCAACAAUAUAUGACUAGACGUGUAUGUUUAGAAUUCAUUUGUUGAAAUUUAGUGCCUAAAUAACAAUUAAAUAGUUACUAUAAUCAAUGUUGAAUACUUUAAUGACAAAUUUAGCACAUUAAAUUAUGAGAGAGGAAUUAUUCAACACAAUUCAGUCAAAUGUAAAACAACAUACAAUAUUCAACCCCCAAUUCAUUAAAAAAAGAAAAAAGAAAAAGAAAAAAAGAAGAUCAUAAGUAACAUUUUACAUUUUUCUAUUUCUAUUGUUUCACAUUAGGUAAAAUAUUGAUUAUAUUAAAGUAUUUAUUUCACUAUUUUCUUGUAUUUCUAUUGGCAAAUGACUCUAGUCGUCAAAGUUGGAAUUAUGUAUUAAUAACUCAUCAUUUUUUUUACCAAUCUUCAUGAAAAUGCACAAGUUAAAACUUCAUAAGUUUUAGUGACAAUAAUUAUUGAAGAUAGGGGCAACUAAGACCGGCUUUUUCAUUCCUAUUCAGUCUAUAGCUAACAUAAAUCCCGACUUAUUCAAUUGUCAUUACUAGCUGCAAGUACCCUCUCUUGUUUCACUCUCUUUUUCUCUUUUUUGUUUCCACGCUUCUUUAGGGUUUAACAAAUCCUCUUCCACAUACAACUGUAUUAUAAUUUAUGAUGAAUCUGAACUCUCUCUCUAUUUUGAUAGUUAGGUAGUAGAAAAUGCGAAGAACAACGUCGUAUGCGAGGCUAGUUUAGUCUUUGGUAACAGAGUAGGGUUUUGUACUUCCACGUCGAAGAAUAGCAAUAUAUAAUGAUACUUCCACAUCGAAGAAUAGCAAUGAUACUUCCACAUUGAAGAAUAGCAAUGUGAUUCACGCGGGUUAGUUGCUAACAAUUAAAAAGGGAUCAGACGAUUGUGUAAGGGACAAACCUCUUGAGACAAAGUCCCAAAAGGGGCGUUUUUAUUGGCGAUGACUUUACAAUUGGAAAAUAAAAACAGAAUGCCUCCAAGGGGCCCAAGCACACGAGUUACUGAAAAAGAAGUGUUUAAAUCUAAAUUAAGAAAUUUAAAGCUACAUAUUCUCUGUUUGAGAGUGUUUGAUUCAGGGUCUUUUGCUCUAUGUCUUUUCUUCCUUUUAUACUCCAUGGAUGAUCUCUUCGUGAUCAAUCACUUAAAAACUACUUGAUCGCUCUAUAACUGCCCACUUUCCUUAUAGUGGCCAACUUGUCAUGAAACUGCCUUCUCUAACUGCUGCCAUUACUUUUGUCGUUCAACCAUCUUUAAUUGAAUUCCUUGAACCGUGGAACGUGAUAGGAUUACCCAAUAACUUCUUUAUUAACUGCACUUUUGGGUAACCAUAACAUCUUAUAUUUGCUAAGACGCUGGGCGACUUGAAUGUUUGGAUGAGAGUAGGGUCACAGCUCUGAGCAACUGCAUGGCAAUUCAUUCACUCAAAUCUUGGGCGACUUGCAACCUUGGGCGAUGGUAUUACCGCAUUCAUGGGCUUCCCUAUUUGGGCCUUUAUCCUACAUUGCCUGAUUGGAUCGUUCUUUUGGGCUAUUUGAUUUUGGGGAUCUUCCAAUUGAGCUUCAUUCCUUGGGCUAUUCGAUUUGGGCUGAACUUUUUGUGUGUCAACACAAUGAUAAGAUCGUAGCUUCAGUAGUGUUUGAGAGACUCUCAAUUGCCAUCCCCAAAUCCGGCCUUGUUGUUUAUAUUUUUCAAGAGUUUUCGUGAGCAACUUUUCUUUGUCCAUAUGUUUAUCUUUAAUUUUUCUUUAGAAAUGGUGAAGGUGAACCAACUUGUGUUUGUGAUCUUAUUACAUUUUGUUUUGCUUUUGUUUUCUACAGUAAACGAGGAAAUUAGUUUUGACAGCAUUAAUGUGAUUUUAUUCCAUUUUGUAGAAAUUCGAUCUUCCAUUAAUGUUAUGUUGUUUUAAAGAAAAAUUGCAUUUUAAUUUUUGCCCCUACAAUACAAAAAGUCUGGCUUCGCCCUAGUUCAAUGCAUAUAAGUUAGUUAACUCCAUUGAUUAUGGGUUGGAAAAAUAGAUAGGCAACUUAGAAAAAGACAGACUGAGAUUUUAUUCCAAGGCAAUAUACACGGUACAUGAUGGUGUGCAUAUUUCUACAUUGAUGAACCACCGAGUAAUGGCCUGAAUAUUCAGCAUGGGUAUUUUCGUAAGUUGCACACGGUAGGAAGAUCUCCAGCCAGCUCGAGCAUAGCCUCCAUAUCCUCAGCGCUGAGGCGACCACUGUCCAUCAUGUUCUUCAUCAUAGUCCUCACAGCAAAGCACACACACUGCUUAUCGAUGCCACUCAGCUCAUUUCUACAGCAACGUCUUUUAUAAUGUUUUUUGGAAUAGGGCAACAUUAUUGUGGCAUCAGCUCUAUCAAAUUCGAGCUUCAGGUACGUCUCGCAAUUUGGGAAGCUGCGUGUCUGAAUCUCUCUCUGGCAUUGUUGAUUCUCCUCUUCGUCGAUUGUGGUGGUGGUUACGGUGGUUGUCAUGGUGGUGGCUAAGGCUUCGUCCAAGGCCAUGAGAGCCAAGAGGAGGAUAGCACCUACACUUGUAAUUUUCUUCACCAUUGUAAAUUCGAUCUCUGGUGGAGGAAUGGUGGUGAAGGGUAUUACUAUUUAUAGUGAGUUCAUAGGCUUGCAUGGUAUUUUACGUGUUGAAAUUGUGUUUGAGGUGGCUAAAUCUUGCUUCCACGUACAACAAUUGCAUGCAAAUUAUUCCACAUGUGGCAUGCAUUGAUUUCGAGGUAACUACUUUUUUUGCCUUUCCUAUUUCAGUAAAAUAAUUUGUCAUAUGGUAACUUUUCUCAUCCAUUUUUUUUAACGUAAGAUUAAGCUAUUUGUACAUUCUGCCUUACAUAUCUCUUACCAUAUUAGCUAUGGGGCAAUUUGUUAAUGGCUGGAUUAAAGAUGUGAAAGAUGGUGUGAUAACUUGCCAAAUGUAAAUUCUGCAAGUAAAGAUAUACAUGUAGUAAGAUUGUUUUACAUAUCCUCAAUAAAAUUAUGAGCCUAGCUAUUUAGAGUUUAUCUGGACGAGGGCCAGAACCAUUUGUAUUUUUCCUACAAUUAAGAAUUCUAUUUCACGUGACUUGUAAACCCUUGAAAGUGUAGAGACAAACUACAAAUGUGCCAACAUUGAUUCUCUCUAUUGCUCAUGAAGAGUGAUUGAGAAAAUAUUGCAUCCUCUAGUUGUCACCCAUCAUGAAAAUGAAAAAAAAAAUUGGGUUUACAUAUAAUAUAUUUUAUUAGAGAGUGUGUGGUUGAUAAAAAAAAGAGAAAAAUGUAUUUUGAAAUUAAUGAAGCCUAGAAAGUUGCUAAAAUAUUUUUCAAUCAGCAAUAAAAUUAAGUGUCAAAUACAAAGAGUUUGUUAGAGUACUUAAAAUUUUUUACUAUCUAAAUUUAUUGAAGCUCUCUAAAUUUUUUAUAUUCUUUAAAAAUGAAGUUCUAUUGGAGAUGUUCUAAGACAUUAAGCCUUUGUUUGGUGAAAAUUAAAACUAAAUUUUUAGUUGAUUCUGAUAAAAGUUGAUAAAAUAUGUGACCGAAUGUUAUGGGUCCCGUUAAAUAUGGCAUUGAAAUUAAUUGUCAACUUUGACUUAGACUAAAAUCUUGAUUUUAAUUUCCACCAAACAGUUUUUUUUUGGUUGAAUAUUGAAUAAAAAUUAGGACUUCGGAAUUUUCUCAGUCUUUCGAUCUAAAUGAGUAUUUCUACAUAAGAAUCAAUGGUUUGUUGACUAAGAAUUAAUUCUUGGAAUUCGUGCACGAAUGAACGAGUCUUGACUGUCAAGUAUCCAGUACUCCUAUAAAAAAUUGAUGGAUAUUUUUAGUUUCUUCUUAGUUACCGUUAAUUUAUCUCUCCAGCCUACAUCAGAACCUUUUGCUGCUAAAAAUGCUGAGGCCCUUGUGUUGGAUAAUUUAGUGCUUUAAAUUACCGGAUCUUUCAUGUUAAAUCAUCAAGAAAUACAAGAAUUAAAGCGGAAGCUUACCUGAAUCAAACAUGGUUAAUGCAAUAUGAAUUUCGCGGUAUGGUUUUCCAAAUCUACACGCAGUCUCCUUUUCCUCUCUGUGAUGGGAUAUAGUAGAGAAUGAAUAAUACGUACGUGUGAUCUGGGGACCAUAACCUAUUUAUAUAGGGAUGCCCUUUAGCCUAAUUCGGCCCAUCAUAGAAUUAGGACUUGGGCCCGGUCUCUACACAUAUGUAAACCCAUACUUUAACUGGAUACAUUAAAACCCAAAAUCGAAGCCUUAUUAGAUCACUUUAAUUGGGCUCAACCGAAUUUGAUAGCCUAUAAUUUAACACACAAUUAUUUACACAUACAAGCCCAUCUUUAAUUAAAAAUCCUUACAAUCUCCCACUUGGGCUAUAUGUGUCACCUUAUAAUUGUGCAUUAAACAUAACCUUAUGAGUACUCAGAAUUUUGAUAUCAUUACCGAAUGUAUCCCCAAACAAUCCCGUCCAUCAAUCAUAUCAACAUAGGAUCAAAGCGGCUUUCGCUACUUUCACGUAGCUAAACCCAUCAAUGGUCACGUAUAUCAAUAUAACCGAAUGACAUGGAUCAAGCAUGGAUGUGUAGCAUGAAAAUUAUAUGUAAUGUGAUCUGUAACAUGCCUAUUUCCAACUGGUCCACCUUAAUACCUUAGUGAGAUCAUUUUAAAUAAGUUCAGAGAUAAUUAACCAAAUAACUUUAUAACUGAAAAUAACUUUAACUUUAAAUCGUAUCCAAAAUAACAGUACAUGUGUCCAAUAUGAAAAGCAAAAAUACAAACUCCCACUGAAACUAGAUAUCCUCAAGAGACAUUACACCCAUAUGAGCAGUGUGCUCAUGAAAGACCUUGGGUAUCAAUCCCUUAGUAAGCGGAUCCGCAACCAUGGAGUUUGUCCCAAUAUGCUCUAUUGACACCUGUCCACUCUAAACUCUUUCUUUAAUAGCAAGGAACUUGAUCUCUAUGUGUUUUGACUUCGUCGAGCUCCUGUUGUUAUUAGAAUACAGUACUGCUAAUUUAUUGUCACAAAAUAUCUUAAGUGGUCUUUCUAUAUUGUCCACAAUACGCAGCCCAAUGACAAAAUUACGCAGCCAUAUUCCAUGAUUUGAUGCCUCAUAACACGCUAUAAACUCCGCUACCAUAGUGGAAGUAGCUAUGAGUGUCUGCUUAGCACUCUUCCAAGAAAUAGCACCUCCAGCAAGCAGGUAAAUAUAGCCCGAAGUGGAUCUCCUACUAUCUUGGCAUCCCGCGAAAUCGAAAUCAGAAAAACCGAUGAUCGCCAACUGAUCUGAUCUCCUGUAUGUGAGCAUCUAGUCUUUUGUUCUCUGUAAAUACCGCAUGACCCGUUUGGCUGCUUUCCAAUGAUCCAUUCCCGGGUUACUUAAAUAUCUCCCUAGCAUCCCAACGAUGUACGCUAUAUCCGGACGUGUACAAACCUGAGCAUACAUCAGACUCCCUAUAGCUGAGGAAUAAGGAAUCUUCUGCAUUUCUUUAAUUUCCAAGUCAUUUUUAGGGCACUGACUUAAGCUGAACUUGUCUCCUUUAGCCACAAUGGUGUCACAUGGUUUACAAUCUUGCAUGCCAUAUCUUUUAAGUACCUUUUCGAUAUAACUCUUUUGUGAUAAUCCAAGGAUACCUAGAGAAUGAUCUCGAUGUAUCUGAAUUUCCAAUACAAAAGAGGCAUCACCAAGAUCUUUCAUCACAAAAUUCUUUGCUAGAAAUCUCUUGGUUNNNNNNNNNNNNNNNNNNNNNNNNNNNNNNNNNNNNNNNNNNNNNNNNNNNNNNNNNNNNNNNNNNNNNNNNNNNNNNNNNNNNNNNNNNNNNNNNNNNNNNNNNNNNNNNNNNNNNNNNNNNNNNNNNNNNNNNNNNNNNNNNNNNNNNNNNNNNNNNNNNNNNNNNNNNNNNNNNNNNNNNNNNNNNNNNNNNNNNNNNNNNNNNNNNNNNNNNNNNNNNNNNNNNNNNNNNNNNNNNNNNNNNNNNNNNNNNNNNNNNNNNNNNNNNNNNNNNNNNNNNNNNNNNNNNNNNNNNNNNNNNNNNNNNNNNNNNNNNNNNNNNNNNNNNNNNNNNNNNNNNNNNNNNNNNNNNNNNNNNNNNNNNNNNNNNNNNNNNNNNNNNNNNNNNNNNNNNNNNNNNNNNNNNNNNNNNNNNNNNNNNNNNNNNNNNNNNNNNNNNNNNNNNNNNNNNNNNNNNNNNNNNNNNNNNNNNNNNNNNNNNNNNNNNNNNNNNNNNNNNNNNNNNNNNNNNNNNNNNNNNNNNNNNNNNNNNNNNNNNNNNNNNNNNNNNNNNNNNNNNNNNNNNNNNNNNNNNNNNNNNNNNNNNNNNNNNNNNNNNNNNNNNNNNNNNNNNNNNNNNNNNNNNNNNNNNNNNNNNNNNNNNNNNNNNNNNNNNNNNNNNNNNNNNNNNNNNNNNNNNNNNNNNNNNNNNNNNNNNNNNNNNNNNNNNNNNNNNNNNNNNNNNNNNNNNNNNNNNNNNNNNNNNNNNNNNNNNNNNNNNNNNNNNNNNNNNNNNNNNNNNNNNNNNNNNNNNNNNNNNNNNNNNNNNNNNNNNNNNNNNNNNNNNNNNNNNNNNNNNNNNNNNNNNNNNNNNNNNNNNNNNNNNNNNNNNNNNNNNNNNNNNNNNNNNNNNNNNNNNNNNNNNNNNNNNNNNNNNNNNNNNNNNNNNNNNNNNNNNNNNNNNNNNNNNNNNNNNNNNNNNNNNNNNNNNNNNNNNNNNNNNNNNNNNNNNNNNNNNNNNNNNNNNNNNNNNNNNNNNNNNNNNNNNNNNNNNNNNNNNNNNNNNNNNNNNNNNNNNNNNNNNNNNNNNNNNNNNNNNNNNNNNNNNNNNNNNNNNNNNNNNNNNNNNNNNNNNNNNNNNNNNNNNNNNNNNNNNNNNNNNNNNNNNNNNNNNNNNNNNNNNNNNNNNNNNNNNNNNNNNNNNNNNNNNNNNNNNNNNNNNNNNNNNNNNNNNNNNNNNNNNNNNNNNNNNNNNNNNNNNNNNNNNNNNNNNNNNNNNNNNNNNNNNNNNNNNNNNNNNNNNNNNNNNNNNNNNNNNNNNNNNNNNNNNNNNNNNNNNNNNNNNNNNNNNNNNNNNNNNNNNNNNNNNNNNNNNNNNNNNNNNNNNNNNNNNNNNNNNNNNNNNNNNNNNNNNNNNNNNNNNNNNNNNNNNNNNNNNNNNNNNNNNNNNNNNNNNNNNNNNNNNNNNNNNNNNNNNNNNNNNNNNNNNNNNNNNNNNNNNNNNNNNNNNNNNNNNNNNNNNNNNNNNNNNNNNNNNNNNNNNNNNNNNNNNNNNNNNNNNNNNNNNNNNNNNNNNNNNNNNNNNNNNNNNNNNNNNNNNNNNNNNNNNNNNNNNNNNNNNNNNNNNNNNNNNNNNNNNNNNNNNNNNNNNNNNNNNNNNNNNNNNNNNNNNNNNNNNNNNNNNNNNNNNNNNNAUGACUCCGAGAACAAUCAUAACGUUCUUGCCAUGCCCUGAAGUUUGUGCCAUUUAACAUUGGAAUUGAAUUGAUGCUAGCAGAGGUAUUAGCAGCAGAACCAGAAACUGAAUUAGAGAACAUUUAUUAUGAAUAGCUCACAUGAAUAUCUUUAAUAUGCAAAUAAUAAUAAUCUCAAAUAGUGGUAGGGCCCAUCACAAGAUACCAAGCACAACAUCAAUAUCUAGUCUUUGGAUAGAGAUAUUGAUUUGUAAGCGGUACUCUUGGCUUAGUGAUCAAACAUUGACGAUAAAACAACGUGUCAAUCAACAAACCUUUUUUUGGAUCGAUUUAUUGAUCACACAUUAAACUAAAUAAUCGUCACACGUUUAUCACCACAGGUGCACGUGUAUUCGGCUAAAUAUUGACCUUCCUUUGGGCCGACCAAUAUUCCCAUGAAUAACACAUGCACAAACACCUUUUAACAUUCUAAGUUAAUCAAUUUUCACAAGAGAGGUUGCUUUGACAACAUGUUGCUUCAAUUAACUAACUUUCGAAUAUUAUAUCUCUUAAAAGAGUCUUUAAUACCAAAAUUUGAGAAAGAGAAUCACUAGAUUUGCAUAUUUUGAUUAGUUUUAAACUUUAGGGGCCUUAGGAUUAAUAAUUCAAAACUUUAAGGGGGCAAAAUUAAUUAAUUCCAAACUUUAGGGGUUGAAAUUAAUAAACUUGAAACUUUAUGGACCAUAAUUAAUUAAUUCAAUACUUUAGAGGAGCAAUUAGAACAAAUUUUAAAACUUCAGGGGCCAAAAUUGACCAAUUCAAAACUUUAGGGAUUAAAUUUUGAAAAUUUGAAACUUUAGGGGCAAUUUGAAUUAAUAAUUAAAUUUUGAGGGCUUUAAUUAUAAAUUCAGAACUUUAAUGGCCUGAAUUAAUUAAUUUUAAACCUUAGGGACUGAAUUAUUAAAUCCAAAACUUAAAGGCCCAAAUCUUAAUAUAACUUAAAGGUUAGGGACUGAAACCUUAAUUUUAUAACCAUAACCCUAAUUGCAACCAGGUGCCUCAACUUAUCUAAUUUACAGAAGAGGCCCCCGUCCCAAAAAAAAAAAAAUCAGAAUUUUUUUUCUUUCUCUCCUUCUUCCAUGAGCCGCGCAGCAGCGCCUGCUGCGCAGCCGGAAUAUUAAAUUUUUUUAAAAAAAACUGUACUGUAAUCUGAACCAAAAAUUCGAAUUUCGAAAAUAACAAGAAUUAUACCGCAAAAAAUUUUCAAAUUUAACAAAAUAUAUAACCAAAAAUUGUUAAAUCUGAAAAUUUCAAAAUAUAUUGCAAGAACCAAACUAAAUUUUUUUUUUUAUUCUCAAUGAUUCAACAUGAAGAGGCUCUGAUACCACUUGUUGGAUAAUUUAGUGCUUUAAAUUACUGGAUCUUUUAUGUUAAAUCAUCAAGAAAUACAAGAAUUAAAGCGGAAGCAUACCUGAAUCAGACAUGGUUAAUGCAAUAUGAAUUUCGCGGUAUGGUCUUCCAAAUCUACACGCAGUCUCCUUUUCCUCUCUGUGAUGGGAUGCAGUAGAGAAUGAAUAAUACGUGCGUGUGAUCUGGGGACCAUAACCUAUUUAUAUAGGGAUGCCCUUUAACAUAAUUCGGCCUAUCAUAGAAUUAGGACUUGGGCCCGGUCUCUACACAUAUGUAAACCCAUACUUUAACUGGAUACAUUAAAGCCCAAAACCGAAGCCUUAUUAGAUCACUUUAAUUGGGCUCAACCGAAUUCGAUAGCCUAUAAUUUAACACACAAUUAUUCACACAUACAAGCCCAUCUUUAAUUAAAAAUCCUUACACCUCGUACUAAGAGAAGGUCUGAUUUUCACUCGAGAUAUAAUGGUUGAGUUCAGUCAAAUUCUUUGAUUGUUUCGGGAAAUUAUGGCACUGAGGUGGAAUUGGAUUGUGGCACUUGUCACUUUACUCCCAAGAGGGGAAUAAGGUGGCUCUCAAACUCGCUUCUAUAGCUGCAGAGGGUCUAGUACUCUAGUUGAUAAAGUUUUGGUCGAUUGUAUUCGAUAUUCCAUCUUGCCUGUAUGGCGCAUCAAUAGUUAAUAAAAUUCUUGUUUCCAGGAAAAAAAAUGUCUGCAUCUUAUUUUUGCAUCUUCCUUGGGAGUAGGUAUUAGAAUUAGCUUCCGCAUUACUUUAUUUUAUCUAAGAGCUCCAAAAUAUAUUGAUUUAUAACCAUAUUAUGUAUUGGAAAUGUUUUACCAUACUUUGUCUUCCCCAUUUUCCUUCAGUUAAAAUGGAGUUGAAACAUAUGUUCCAUGGUGACUUUCUUUGUCGCAUUUGGGUAAAUCUAACAAUUUGUUUUGAACUGCUUUCAGUGGGAAAUUUAUUGUCAUAUUGUUUACUGAUAUUAGAGUCCAUGUCCAAGUUGUUAUAUCAUAGUACUAUUUGCUUUGGUAGAGCAUCUAUCCUCUUACCUCUCACGAGUUUGUGUCACAUCCUCUAGAAUUCGAACUCAAGACUUCUACCUUAUUAAAACUUUAGUUAAAUCC